AAAACAAGGAAACGACGUUGACUCGGUUUGUGGCGUGAUUAAACGGGAGAUGGUGGCGGCGCGCUAGGGUUUGAAUGGUGGAAAACACAAUGCGACCAGCAACAAAUGACGCGAAAGCACACAAAUUCAACAAUGCAGAUUAUUGAAAUAAAGUGCGAGGCUCAAAAGGGUGCUGGGAUAAGGUCUAACCUGAAUUUUUUUGACAAUGUUUUUUGGGAUAAGCUCAAAAGGGUGCUGCGAGGCUUUAUUGACGAAUUUUUUCUUUAUUUUCCUGAAUUUUUUGACAAUUUUAUCGAAACCAAACAGGCCGUAGGCGAGUUUGGAUGGCCUCAGAAUGGUGUCAACAAGCUCCUGUAAAAAUUUAAGAUUUUUUGGACAACCGAGCGAAAAGUUAUGCCCGAUUUAAGGAAGGUACCUCAAGUUAUGUUUAGAACGACCGAGAUGAGUCAACAAGUUCCUUUCUUUUUUUGUUCUCUGGUUCUUUCCUUUCUCUUUCGUUUUCUUUUUUUCUUUUCCUUUUUUUGUUUCUGUUUUUUUACGUAACCGAAGGAGAAAACAAGGAAGCGGCGUUGACUCGGUUUGUGGCGUGAUCAAACGGGAGAUGAUGGCGGCGCGCUAGGGUUUGAAUGGUGGAAGAAAGAAGGAUGGUGAAAAAAACACAAUGCAACCAGCAACAAAUAACGCGCAAGCACACAAAUUCAACAAUGCAGAUUAUUGAAAGAAAGUGUGAGGCUCAAAAGGGUGCUGGGAUAAGGUCUAACCUGAAUUGUUAUGUGGUUUUGUGGACCGUAGGAGAAAAAAACACUCGAUAAACUCACCGAUCAACCUGGAAAUCUGAUACCACUUGAUAUAGCUGAGGUGCCCGAUCUUUCGGCGAGUGGAGAUAAUUCCGAUUUGGCGGAAGAUGACCCUUGCGAUCCGACUACGACGAGCAAGCCCGAGGCGCCAAUGCAAUCGCUGAACCAACUCCUUGUGGUUACCGACCUUGCUGAUGCGAGAUCGGCCUGAUCACGAAGAUCGUUUCCAGUGCGCAAUCGAAGAAUGAACAAGAAAAAGAUGCGAGCAAUCUAAUCUAUUACUCGAGGGUGGAGUUCUGAAUACAUGAAGACAGCGCUGAUUUGCGCGUGUUCGAGAGUAGCUAAAGCUAACGUAAAACAAAACUCAAAGAACAAAGGAGGCGCAGCUCCUGGAUAAAUAGAGAGAGAUGGCGCAACCCCUAGUGGCGGCCAACCCUAGGUCGUCCACUAUGGGCCGUAGUUGGGCUGGUCGUCUAUUCUUCUGGGCCCUCAUUCUUCAGUAGCAUGACGAAGUUAGGAUCUCUGGCACGGGCCCGAGUGAUUGGCCCAGCUAAUGAAGGAAGUGGCGCUUGAUGUGGAGGUGCUGCUGGUAUAGUCGUACUCAUGUUGCAGGUGAUGUCCUCAUCAUUUAGAAUGGCGGAAAUGUGCGAUCAAAGGAAAUUGAAUUGGCAUGCAUGAAAACAAAAAAUGUUAUUUAAAUGCUUUAUUUUCCUACAUAAAUAUUGGAUCGCUCCAAUAGCCAUGUAGCUAGGCUCGUUAGAAACAGUGUAUGCUAAAAUACUGAUGCUAAUUAUGCUACACGGUGUAAGUAUUUAUGCAAUGCGGUACACUACAUAAAAAUCUGCCAUGCAGUUCAUUGGUGGACGCAUCUCUAGGUUCAAGUGUAAAAACUUCACUAUUGAGCAUAAAAAUCUGCAGUUAUGAGCGUAAAAUAUCGAUCCAACAGGAAAGUUGUUGAUAACAUAUUGAUGUUGGCAUAGAUAUGCAUACAAGUGACAUAAAAAUAUGUACGUGAUUGUAUGUCGUCCUUCCACCAGGAACAUGCAUACAGGCGCGUCCACCAAUAGACACAUGCAUGUGGUCCUAUUUUUGGUAGAUCUGAAAAAUAUGGUAAGCAAUAGGUAUAGGCAUAUGGUUCCUAUUUUUAUGUAGAUCCGAAAAUUAUGGUAGGUCAUGAGAGUUUCCAUUGCAUGCACACAAAUUUUGAAUGGUAUUUUCGUUCCCAUAGCAAAUACACAAAAGCUAGAUGGCUGAUAUCAUGCAAAACAUAAAUCGUUACAUAAAGUUGCAUAAACACCUACACCGUACAUCAUAAUUAAUGAAAAAUUAGUAUGGGCUCAACCAACAGCCGCAUGCAUAAACAAAGAAUUGGAGGAGGUCAUCGGAGGACGCCGCCGCCGAGGCCAUCAGAUCGAAGGAGUUGGUCAUCGAAGGACACCGGAGCCAACCACGCCUCAUGUGGCCACCACCGCUGGAGACGACCGCGCCUCACGCACCCGUCGGAGCUACCCGCGUGUCCCAUGGCCACCACCGUCACUGCCGAAGCCUAUCGUGCCUCGCACAAUCACCGUUACCACCGAGCCUAGGGUGCGACGCCGCCACUCGUUCGACUCGGGACUGCCGUCGCCGCUUGCCCGCCCGCCUCUGGAGCGUCGCCAUCACUCAGUCUUAGGGGAGAACCACCGCUGCCUGCCCGCUGCCUCGGGAGCGUCGGCGUGGGUCACCCACCUCGGGGCACCACCGCCGCCCGCCCCCGAUAUCUCCACCGCUUGCACGCCCGAGGGAACCGCGGUCACCGCUAAAAACUAAUGGCUGGAAGCCUAGGGUGUUUUUAUAGCCACCCAAACUUGAUGCGGCUGAACCAGAUGGCAUUGUUGGGUCAGGGCUUCCUCUAGUUAUUGGAAGCACAGGACUCCAAAUAUAUUAACUAUAUAUAAACUAUACAUUGUAGCAUAAUUAGUAUCAAUAUAUAUUAUAAACUGGUUCUAACGAGCCUAGAUGCAUGGUUGUCGGUCGGUAGAAUUGGUUGUCGGACUACGCUUAUGUCUGGCGGUACAGUUGGUUGUCGGACAUAAUCUUGCUAUAUCCAAUGGUGGUCGUCGCAAUUAUGGGCAUUAUGUAUGACUGCUUCUUUCUAGGGCACCCGAAUGGUCCACAGUCCUGACUAGAGAGAACCUAAGUUUGCACAAGUCCAUGUGUGUUUAUGUGGAUAGUUCGGUCGGGGUAGGCGAACCGUCCGCAGGUGCCAAAUUGGAUUUGAGAAGGGACUGUGUGUUUUUGGCUGUUUGAACUACGGACUAUCCGAGGUUUUAACUCGACUAGUACUAACUCCUAGGCGUGGACCGUCUGGCCCUAAAGGGAGGACUAUCCGCUAGUGUAAAUCAACUUUCUUAGUGCUAUGGUGUUUUAAAUUGCCAGGUCUCGGACAGUCCGGCCAUGGUUGGUGGACUGUCCGGACAUGACUUGUUCUGACAGCACUAACAUGUUUCAAACGAGAAUUAUAGCCUUUACUUGUACGGCGGACUGUCCGGUCGUAGGGCGCGGACCAUCCGCGUAUGCGCAGAAUGUGUGCUUCAAGCACAUAACGGUUAGAAUUGUGAGGUGGGCUAUAAAUCAAAGUGCAGCUCAUGUGUGAGGACUCUCUUGGCCAUUCCUAGCACACCUUGAGCUAAUUUGUGAUCCUCCAACUCACAUAAUUAAGUCGUCAAAAAUAAUAAAUAUCAUAGUAGGAAAAUUUUCCCUAUUUUUCUUGAGUACCACAAUAAAGAUAUUGUCAAUGCUUUUGGGUAUUAUUAUCCUGUUACAACCAGGCUAGGCCCCUAUGCCAUGGUAGAUAGUAGACUAGCGCUCCAAGAGACCCUCGUCGAAUCUUUCUGGUGAUAUUGACCUUGUUACAGGGACUGUCACACUUCAACAGUGGCGUGCCAGGUAUGUGUAGCAUCCCAAAAAUUCAAAUCUUGAAAUUUUCUCAAACUCGCUCUAAAUUCAAAAUGAAUUUCAAAUUUCAUUUCAAAAUGUUUGUUUGCAAGUUGAUAUCAACAAAUAAAUUAUAGUGGUCUAUAUUCUCUCCAAAAUCCUCCUCAAAAUAUCCUACAAAUGUUUCCCCAGUGAUCACCCUCAAUUUCUUUUCAGAAAUACUGCCCAGAUAUUUCUCCAGUGAUCCCCCUCAAAUUCUUCCAGAAAUACCGCCCAGAUAUUUCCCGAGUAAUCCCCUUCAAGUUCUUUCCAGAAAUACUGCCCAAAUAUUCCACCAAUAUAUCUCCAAGUAUUUUACUCCUCAAAAAUACCUUCAGAAUCAUUUUUGAAGUCUUCGCAAAUAUUUUCUUCAAAACUUUUCUCAUGCUCAUACGUAUACGUAUGCCUCCAGUGUCAUACGGUGAGCUCUACAAGCUAAUCUCACUCAUAUAAGACAAAUCCAUGCUAAUCUCCCACUAAUCCUCUCAUCCUCCCACUAAUUCUCUCAUCCCUCCCCCUAAUCCCCCCACCAUGCCUAUAAAUAGAGGGGCAAGGGCCUCCUCUCAUCCCACCCCAAGCCAUUUCAUGGCAACUCCCUCCCCCCCACACCCACAUGCCCACUCCCACUCCACCUCCCACACAAGCACACACUAGCACAAGGAUCAUUCGGUCGUUCUUCGAUCGUUCGUCCCUCUGUUCUUAGUUUGUUCGUUCGUUCGUCCGAUCGUUCGAUCGUUCGUCCGAUCGUUCAUGGUUUGUUCGUCCGUACGUCUGAUCGUUCGAUCGUUCGUCCGUUCGUUUGUCCAAAAUAAUCUUUUUCCUGCCGUUAUGCUGCCGAAAUUCCGAUCUUUCGUUCGUUCAUCGUUCGUUCAUAGUUCCUAUUCAUCGUUCGUUCAUCGUCACUAUUCAUCGUUCAUCGUUCGUUCAUACAAACUAUUCACCAUCACUAUUCACCGUUACUAUUCAUCGUUACUAUUCAUCGAUCAUCCGAUCACCCCAAAUUUCAACUACUCACCCAUCAUGCUGUCCAGUCCACCUAAGACCAGCCAGACCCAUAUUCCAGUCAUACGAACUCCGGUGACUGUGAUUUUCAUUCUAGUAGGGAACUUCUCAUCUGGUCACCCAUCCCAGAUUUCUCCAAGUUGAGCACGCUUAACUUUGGGAUUCUUUCAAGCCAGACUUCCAAAAAGAAAGGCAAACCAAGUUUGUAUGGAUACGUCUUCAAUCCUAUAAAACCUGGCCCAAGAUACCACAGCCCACUCGGACCAGAAUACCACAACAUUCCAGCUAUUUGGGUCCCGCCUCACUGCUGUCUGAUGUGACACAGUAGGUAGGAACAGUUUCCACCAACAUAAACCUCUGCCCAAGAAAAGCCCAAAAAUAAUUCCUCGCACCCCGCUCAAAAAUACAUUUGUAUUUUUGAGUUUCCAAAUAUCUCUAAAUAUUCAAAUUCUAGAAUAUUCCAAGAAUAUUCCUUUCCUUUCUUUUUCUCCUUAUGAUUAUAAAAUCCAAAACUCCUCCAUCCAAACUCAGAUUUCAGUCAUUCUUGUUUCUAAAUUCUUAUCAAACUAUUCCCUAUCCAACCAUGUCAUCCCUUAAGCAUGGUCCAUAUUCCAGAAAACUCCCAAAAUACUCUUGUCCCAUAUUCUGCCUAUAACUCUCAUGUUCAUACUAAGUCAGACGAUUCAUUCGUCACUAUUCUCACCAACAGUGAACUUCACUGUGCUACACCACAUACACCCAGCUAUAAAUACACCCAGCUACCCUCUCCCUCUCCACACACACUCAACACCCUCAGCCAAGGCAAACACCCCCACCCACUCAGUUACUCCGCUCUGCCGGCUACACGCAUAGUGUCGCUUCGCCUCCAGUCCACCCUCCUGGUAAGCACCUCCGCUCCACCACCAGUAAUAUCACAACACCACAUGACACAGAUUCUACUCAAGACUCUACCCAUCCAUGUAUCGCUAUUUUGACCACUAUACUAAAUAUUUGUUGGUAUACUUGCAGGUUUGUAUGUUUACUUGUUCAUGUUGCAUAGUUAUCGGAGCGUUCGUGCCGUCUCGUGGAGGCCAGGUCUGCAAGUCUACGCCAGGCGGUGGAGCCAGAAGGCAGUUCCGCGAGCUCUCCUUCCCCCUUCGCCCGAUAAGCACGGCAAGCUCACUGGAUCCCUUUGAUGCAUAAAUUACCUAUGAUUUUUCAACCACAACCAUCAGCCUGUUAUUUUAUGCAUGAUAUGAUUUUGAGACAAGUUAUUAUGGCCACCCAAGCUGCUUGCCGCAAUCAAUCCUUGAUAUAUUUGUUACAAAUGAUUUGAGAAAAGGUGUAAGUUUUCAAAAGAAAAAAUGCUUUUCAAAAUGUGUAUGAUGAAGGGUUUUCACCCUUAUCACCUUGUGAGUGGGAUAAUUAGGGACUCCCUGGUUUAGGGGAGGGCCUAAGGUGAUGGCUCAGCUGGUUUAGGCGUGAGCAGAAGGAUUGUCCCCUCACAUAAGGACCGGUUUGUCAUCCUUCACUACUGUACUCAUGAUAAGUACAACCACUCGAUACUGUGUGGGCAAUCACUCAAUCUAAACUUGUACGGUCCAACCCCAGGGUUAUGAAGGCUGGGGAGCACCGGGAGGAUAAGGAGGGGGAAUGUUUUGUCCGGUUUGGGCAUGGCGGUGGCCUGACUCCUUCCGGUAUAACCGUUAAGGUUAGGACGUGCGAGGAAAGAAAGAGAUUCGGCAUUCGGUUCUCACGACGGUGAGAUCGCAGAAACCGGACUAGUGGGUAAAGUGUACACCUCUGCGGAGAGUUUGAAAACCUAUUCGAAUAGUCCGUGUCCACAGGAAUGGACGAGUCUAGUAUGGUAUGGCAAUUAAUGUUUUGUUUUCAAAAAAGGGUACGUUUGAGAAAAAUGGUUUUUAAAAGGUCCGGCGGUUGAGCCGUGAGCUAUGGUGGACGGGAAGUCCAGUAGCUGUUUUUGAAAAUGAAAACCAGUGGGAAACUGCUGAGAUACCUGGAUGGUUUAGUCCAGGGGUUUUUGUUCUAUAUUGAAAAACUUCUUGCUCCUUUGGGAGAGGAUGCGCUUUGCAAAAUACAAAAUGUUUUACAAAACAACCCUGCAUAAAAUAUUGUUGUUUCUGCAAAAUAUCUUGAGCUCCAGAUAUUCCAUGCAUUAUAUCUGAUUUCCUCAUUCCGCGGGUGAAUGUGGGCUGCUGAGUACGUUUGUACUCACCCUUGCUUAUUUGUUGUUUUUCAGAAAAAGGAGAUCAGGUAAGAGUUACGACUGUUCCCAACCUUGCCUGUGGCUGUUGGACCGCUGAAUUGCUUCGCUGCGUAUAUCGGGCUGCUUCAGCCCCACUCUGAUGAUAUGUCCCGAGUUGUGGACCAACUCUUAAAGUUGUUCACCACCUUUAUAGGUUUGUAUCGUUUAAGCAGAUCUGUAAUCAUCUGAUGUAUAAAUGUGUUUACUAGCCUCCUGGGACUAGUAAUUGUAUCACAUUUGAGUCCUAGAGGAUUGGGGACGCUUCAGGUGGUAUCAGAGCUGUUAGGUUGGCCGCAGGACGUAACCCUUAGCCUGAUCAAAAGUUUUUUUGAGUUAAAACUAUUUUCUUAAAAGAAUUCUUGCUCUCAUCCCUUCAUUUCAAAAAUGUUUUCCCCCUUUCCUUCUCUCAGAAGUCAGAUGGAGGUUCAGUGCCAAACCAGCUUUUGCCAGAAUGAAGAUGGUUUUCCCAAGUUGCUGAGAGCAUGCACAGUCCACCUCGGAAUCAGGAGCCAGCCAGAGUAUGAUGGUCAUGAAUUCAUCGAGCAUGGCACAGAGAAGUGUGUCGUGACUGUAUACACUGGAUCCAGUCCGCACCAUGUGGAAUGGAGUGUCACUGGUGCUAGGCACAGAUUCAAAGACACCUGCCAAGUCGUUGCCCACAAGGCAUUGAGGGCCCUGUGUCAGAUCUAUGAAGAAGAAGUGGCCGACACACCGCUCAGAUUCUUUCCACCCUUUCAGAGAGACCGUCCCGUUUGGAUGGCUAGGAUGCGUGCAUUGGAAGAGCAGCAGCUGCUUGAGGAUGACCCCAUAGUCGUGUACCUCACUACCUACCUGCUCACCCUGGAUGCGCAGUAUGAUUUCUUGGCUCGACACCACCGUCAGAUGAUUGCCCGAGCAGAAGAUGAAGAGAAGCUCAACCGUAAGCUCCAUGUGGAUCUCACCUCAGCUCAAGCCCGUGUAGCUGCCUUGGAAAGUCGUGAAGUCAUUGCUGUUGAAGCCCUGAAGCAAGCCAAGGAUGAGCAUGUCCAGAAGCUGAUGAAGGCCUACUUGGUAACCCAUAACCAACGUAGAGCCCUGCGGAUCCAAGAGCCUGCUUUAUCCAACCUUGUUCAACCCAUCAGAGCUGAAUACCCCCAGAUUCUUGAAGGUCACCUGGUCUCUAUCAGAGGAGAGAAGAAGUCUUGGGAACUCCCGGAAGGUGCCAUAGUCUUGGAAGGAAUUCCAGUCUUCCCUCAGGCUAUGGAUAAGCAAGAGCACCCUGAAUCCUCCCAAGAUCCCCCGCCGGAGUUGUUUGAGCCCCUUACCAUGAAGAAGAUUCCAACACCAUCCCUUGAAGUCAAGGAAGAAGCUGCAAGCACCCCGCCAGCAUCGCCGCCCUCUGAGGAACUACAAGAGCCAGUCCAGCUUGAAGAAGAGUUCGACCCCGUGCUGCCAUCUCAGUCACCGCCAGAAGAAGUCAUCAACAUCAGCUCCCUCUUGACCCAUCCAGGAGAUGUCUCAGAUUGAAGGUUGCCAGCCUCGCCAGAAGAGAAGCUGCCUGGUCUAAAGUUAGUUAUGCCCAGUACUCUGCAUGCAUUGGGUAGUGAAGUUUUUCUUCACUUUGGCUAGAGCCCUGCAUGUAUGAGAGGUAAUCGUGUAGACUCGUGUUUUGCAAAACUCUAAUUGUGUGGCCCCCUAGGGCAUUUCAAAAUGAAUUUCGCUUGAUGUUUUCUCCCCUUUUGAGUGCAUAUGUGAUGCUUUAACGUUAGUGAUCAUAAGUCGCAUUUAACAUAGUUCUCAAUUCAGGAACCAAGCAAUAGUAGUUAUGCUUAGCCCCCGAAUCUGAGUAGUCCGUGCUUUGGAAAAACUCUAUUCUUCCCUUAUUCAAAACAUUUGAUUUGUUUGUGCUUAUAAUUGCUGAACUUAUGUGUUUUCUUUCUUUUUAAGAGAGGUUUUCUCUAAAAACAUAAAUCACAAAUUAGAUCUAAUCCUCACCUUAUGCUUCCAUUCUCAUCUUAACCCAUCUCAAGAGAAAAGCACCUUACCCAAGAAGAUACCAGGAAGCUUACCCUUGAAGCCUGGAAUAAGCUACAGAAGGAACCUAUCCAGCCGCUCAGUCAAAAGGACCGACCACGAGAAUCAAAACACUACCCCUGAGUCAAAGUGAGCAGGAAAGAGGACAGAAGGAGUUAUUACCAUACAGAGAGGCAAAGAUUCUUGGAACCAGAGACCACAAACAUCAGGGUCAUUGACCCAACCACUCACCCGUGCCCCCGCACGCGUGCCCGCCUCCAUGCGCACUAGUACCACCGCCCACGCCCCCUUUGCAGCGCACUACCGACGCCCACCCCCCUUUGCAGCGCACUACCACCGCCCCACACCCCCUUUGCAGCGCACCCACCGCCACCAUCGUCGCCGGCAACAUGCUCCCCCCUCCCCUUGUCAUGUUUUCUGACGCGUGGCACCUGCUCCAUCACCGCCACUCCGCACCUCGAGCACCACCUUGCAUGCCGCUCGCCUGUAAAACCCCCCACCAGCUCCCUCAACUCCCAUCUCGCUCAAAGCGAAGCACACUCCAGAUAAAUCCCCUCUGCCAAAUCGCAAGCAACCCGAUUUCCCACUCCCUCGCCCCUAAGAUCACAAUGCUUGGUGAUUCUUGGGUGGAAGACUGUUGUACAUGGUUCAACAUCUUCGGUUUCCUCCUCUGUAUGAUGGUAAUACUCUUCGAUAGAAUCCUCGAGUGGGAAGAGCAAAGAGAAAGAAAGAGGCAGUGAAAAGUGAGAAGUGAAGUGAAAAGUGAAAAGAAGAUAGUGAAAAGAAGAUAAGAAGAAGGUUCUCCCAGAAUCAACCCUGUGUCAAUCAUUUCUCCACAGCCUGCUCAAGCAGCAACAGCAGAAGAAGGCCCCGUAACACCGUUGUUAUGAGGUACUUCAAGGACUUCAAAUCCCCAAGAUUCAAGAGAUCUACCCUCAUUCUUUUUAAGUGGGGUAGUGUUCCAGUAAGGUUCCUGCUAUGGAGAAAAAGAAGAAGGCCUGUAGCAAGCUUGUGGAGGACCCGAUCAUCCAAGCAUGUAAGUUUCUGGAUGAGAAGUGGUCACCCAAGUUUUGUUGAUGAAGCACUAGAAGACUAAUCAAGGAGGAAUCCAUGUGGGAGUUCGCAAGAGAAAGGUUUGUGUGUUGGCAUCGAUGCUUCCUCAAUAAGCUAGCUGCCAAGCGAAACCUAGAAGCCUGAAGAUGAUCUUUGAGUAGCCAGAAUCAGCGUUUGCAAUCAGCAACCAGAUGCUCUGCAAGGGCCAGAUUUUGUUGAAGUCCCAUAUCCUCGAAGAGUCUGCAAAGUGAAGAUAUGUAGCUGAAGUAAAGCUAUACCCAUAACCCUUCUAAGCCGAAUCUCGAGGACGAGAUUCCUUUUAAGUGGGGUAGAUUUGUAGCAUCCCAAAAAUUCAAAUCUUGAAAUUUUCUCAAACUCGCUCUAAAUUCAAAAUGAAUUUCAAAUUUCAUUUCAAAAUGUUUGUUUGCAAGUUGAUAUCAACAAAUAAAUUAUAGUGCUCUAUAUUCUCUCCAAAAUCCUCCUCAAAAUAUCCUACAAACAUUUCCCCAGUGAUCACCCUCAAUUUCUUUUCAGAAAUACUGCCCGGAUAUUUCUCCAGUGAUCCCCCUCAAAUUCUACCAGAAAUACCGCCCAGAUAUUUCCCGAGUAAUCCCCUUCAAGUUCUUUCUAGAAAUACUGCCCAAAUAUUCCACCAAUAUAUCUCCAAGUAUUUUCCUCCUCAGAAAUACCUUCAGAAUCAUUUUUGAAGUCUCCGCAAAUAUUUUCUUCAAAACUUUUCUCAUGCUCAUACGUAUACGUAUGCCUCCAGUGUCAUACGGUGAGCUCUACAAGCUAAUCUCACUCAUAUAAGACAAAUCCAUGCUAAUCUCCCACUAAUCCUCUCAUCCCUCCCCCUAAUCCCCCACCAUGGCUAUAAAUAGAGGGGCAAGGGCCUCCUCUCAUCCCACCCCAAGCCAUUUCAUGACAACUCCCUCCCCCCACACCCACACGCCCACUCCCACUCCACCUCACACACAAGCACACACUAGCACAAGGAUCGUUCGGUCGUUCUUCGAUCGUUCGUCCCCCUGUUCUUAGUUUGUUCGUUCGUUCGUCCGAUCGUUCAUGGUUCGUUCGUCCGUUCGUCCGAUCGUUCGAUCGUUCGUCCGUUUGUUUGUCCAAAAUAAUCUUUUUCCUGCCGUUAUGCUGCCGAAAUUCCUAUCGUUCGUUCGUUCGAUCAUUCGAUCGUUCAUCGUUCGUUCAUAGUUCCUAUUCAUCGUUCGUUCAUCGUCACUAUUCAUCGUUCAUCGGUCGUUCAUACAAACUAUUCACCAUCACUAUUCACCAUUACUAUUCACCGUUACUAUUCAUUGUUACUAUUCAUCGAUCAUCCGAUCACCCCAAAUUUCAACUACUCACCCAUCAUGCUGUCCAGUCCACCUAAGACCAGCCAGACCCAUAUUCCAGUCAUACGAACUCCGGUGACUGUGAUUUUCAUUCCAGUAGGGAACUUCCCAUCUGGUCACCCAUCCUAGAUUUCUCCAAGUUGAGCACGCUUAACUUUGGGAUUCUUUCAAGCCAGACUUUCAAAAAGAAAGGCAAACCAAGUUUGUAUGGAUACGUCUUCAAUCCUAUAAAACCUGGCCCAAGAUACCACAUCCCACUCGGACCAGAAUACCACAACAUUCCAGCUAUUUGGGUCUCGCCUCACUGCUGUCUGAUGUGACACAAUAGGUAGGAACAGUUUCCACCAACAUAAACCUCUGCCCAAGAAAAGCCCAAAACUAAUUCCUCGCACCCCGCUCAAAAAUACAUUUGUAUUUUUGAGUUUCCAAAUAUCUCUAAAUAUUCAAAUUCUAGAAUAUUCCAAGAAUAUUCCUUUCCUUUCUUUUUCUCCUUAUGAUUAUAAAAUCCAAAACUCCUCCAUCCAAACUCAGAUUUCAGUCAUUCUUAUUUCUAAAUUCUUAUCAAACUAUUCCCUAUCCAACCAUGUCAUCCCUUAAGCAUGGUCCAUAUUCCAGAAAACUCCCAAAAUGCUCUUGUCCCAUAUUCUGCCUAUAACUCUAAUGUUCAUACUAAGUCAGACGAUUCAUUCGUCACUAUUCUCACCAACAGUGAACUUCACUGUGCUACACCACAUACACCCAGCUAUAAAUACACCCAGCUACCCUCUCCCUCUCCACACACACUCAACACCCUCAGCCAAGGCAAACACCCUCACCCACUCAGUUACUCCGCUCUGCCGGCUACACGCAUAGUGUCGCUUCGCCUCCAGUCCACCCUCCUGGUAAGCACCUCCGCUCCACCACCAGUAAUAUCACAACACCACAUGACAUAGAUUCUACUCAAGACUCUACCCAUCCAUGUAUCGCUAUUUUGACCACUAUACUAAAUAUUUGUUGGUAUACUUGCUGGUUUGUAUGUUUGCUUGUUCAUGUUGCAUAGUUAUCAGAGCGUUCGUGACGUCUCGUGGAGGCCAAGUCUUCAAGUCUACGCCAGUUGGUGGAGCCAGAAGCCAGUUCCGCGAGCUCUCCUUUCCCCUUCGAAGGAUAAGCACGGCAAGCUCACUGGAUCCCUUUGAUGCAUAAAUUACCUAUGAUUUUUCAACUACAACCAUCAGCUUGUUAUUUUAAGCAUGAUAUGAUUUUGAGACAAGUUAUUAUGGCCACCCAAGCCUCUUGCCGCAAUCAAUCCUUGAUAUAUUUGUUACAAAUGAUUUGAGAAAAGGUGUAAGUUUUCAAAAGACAAUGCUUUUCAAAAUGUGUAUGAUGAAGGGUUUUCACCCUUAUCACCUUGUGAGUGGGAUUAUCAGGGACUCCUUGGUUUAGGGGAGGGACUAAGGUGAUGGCUCAGCUGGUUUAGUCGUGAGCAGAAGGAUUGUCCCCUCACAUAAGGACCGGUUUGUCAUCCUUCACUACCGUACUCAUGAUAAGUACAACCACUCGAGACUGUGUGGGCAGUCACUCAAUCUGAACUUGUACGGUCCAACCCCAGGGUUAUGAAGGCUGGGGAGCACCGGGAGGAUAAGGAGGGGGAAUGUUUUGUCCGGUUUGGGCAUGGCGGUGGCCUGACUCCUUCCGGUAUAACCGUUAAGGUUAGGACGUGCGAGGAAAGAAAGAGAUUCAGCAUUCGGGUCUCACGACGGUGAGAUCGCAGAAACCGGACUAGUGGGUAAAGUGUACACCUCUGCGCAGAGUUUGAAAACCUAUUCGAAUAGUCCGUGUCCACAGGAAUGGACGAGUCUGGUAUGGUAUGGCAAUUAAUAUUUUGUUUUCAAAAAAAGGUGCGUUUGAGAAAAAUGGUUUUUAAAAGGUCCGGCGGUUGAGCCGUGAGCUAUGGUGGACGAUAAGUCCAGUAGCUGUUUUUGAAAAUGAAAACCAGUGGGAAACUGCUGAGAUACCUGGAUGGUUUAGUCCAGGGAAUUUUGUUCUAUAUUGAAAAACUUCUUGCUCCUUUGGGAGAGGAUGCGCUUUGCAAAAUACAAAAUGUUUUACAAAACAAUCCUGCAUAAAAUAUUGUUGUUUCUACAAAAUAUAUUGAGCUCCAGAUAUUCCAUGUAUUAUAUCUGAUUUCCCCAUUCCGCGGGUGAAGGUGGGCUGCUGAGUACGUUUGUACUCACACUUGCUUAUUUGUUGUUUUUCAAAAAAAGGAGAUCAGGUAAGAGUUACGACUGUUCCCAACCUUGCCUGUGGCUGUUGGACCGCUGAUAUGCUUCGCUGCGUAUAUCGGGCUGCUUCAGCCCCACUCUGAUGAUAUGUCCCGAGUUGUGGACCAAUUCUUAAAGUUGUUCGCCACCUUUAUAGGUUUGUAUCGUUUAAGCAGAUCUGUAAUCAUCUGAUGUAUAAAUGUGUUUACUAGCCUCCUGGGACUAGUAAUUGUAUCACAUUUGAGUCCCAGAGGAUUGGGGACGCUUCAGUAUCGGAGUCUCUUCAAGUGCUGUUCCAACAUCCCCAAAGAUGGGCGAUGGGUCUGCUCACACUAGUGAUGCUUGUUGCAUCUGCUCCACCGUAGCCCCACCCUGCACCGUCAACACUCGUGCUGCUUACCGUAGCCCUAGCUCUAGCGCUGUCUACCGCGACGUCGAGUCUUGUGCCACCUCAUGCGGCCUAGACUUGCAACCUCGCUCGGGGCAUCUGUCGGUGUUAAUGACCCGACUACGCACCAAGGGGUAUCCCACGUGAUGCUUUUGGGUAGGACCGCGUCGUUGAUGGUGACUUGAUGGUACAUGCGGAUGCACGUCAGAACAAAAGAGAGUUUAUAUAGGUUCAGGCCACUGGAAUGUGUAACGCCCUACGUCUUGUUGAUGCUAAGUAUUGAGUAUUACUGGUGUUCAUGGGUUACAGAUGAGCUGUGCGCGGUGAGGGAUGAUUUCUCCUAUUGUCUAGUGGUGGUGUAGUUGCUAUAAGAUGGCUAAUGAGCUAUGAGAUGGCAAAGGGAUGCGACGAGAUGAGAUGCGUUUGUAGGGGUACUGCCUCGGCCUUAUAUAGGUGACCGGACGACUUUCCCUUUAUAAGUUGUGAUGCCUAUCUAACUCUAUCUGAAUAUAUCUUUAAAGCGGCAGUCACUCUUGCUUAUCUGGAGUUCGGUCGCCUUUCAUCCAGGUUAUCUCCCGAGUAUCAAGCUCUUCGAGUACACACAAUCUACCUGUGUGAGGCAUCAAUGCUCCUUCUGCGUCAGACACGCAUAACUCGGCUGUCCCGGUCUUUGUCUCCCUUGGUCAAACUCACCUAGCCUGAUUAUGGCCUAAUGGCAUGCCUUGCUAGGCAAACCAUCAGAGGCCCAUAAAGCAACUCAUGGAACAUUUCCAUGCUCAUAAGGACCCAAGGGAUAUCUAUCUCUCACAGGCCCGUGAGGCUCAAGCCAAUUUUUGAGGGUAAUUAGCUCGAGUCUCCAAAAAUGAGCCAUGCUCUUUGAUUAUUCCAUGCUUUUGGCUUCAUCUUUGUUCUGGGUGUAGCCCCCGAGCUUUGAGCUAAUUUGAGCAUCAAUCAACUCAAAGGUCCUCAUGGUCUUGCUUUUGAAGGUUUUUUUUAAUUUGCCAUCUUGAAUGUGAUUCGCUUGACUGAAGAUUGACCGACUGAAAUCCCACCAACUGAAGCCUGAUCGACUAAAACCUAUUUAACUGAGACCUAACCAAUGGAGGCGUGGCUGGGGUGCGCUUGGUUAGGGUUUUAUCAAUGCAGAUGACUGAACUCAACCAAUAGAAGCUCGGUUGUCUCUAGUUUGACCGAUCUCGAGUUUGUCAUUUUGUAGAAUUUGUGGGUAUCUCACGGAUCAGGUUUUUCAGAAUAACCAGGCCGUACACAUAAUGGGUGCGCCCAAUCGGUGUGUAUGCUGUCUUGUCUCAAAAUAGUAACCUGACAAGAUAGGGCGUAAUAAUACGCCAGAGCAGUUGGUUUACCCUCUUCCGUGCGGUGUGACACCAAGGGGUGGCAGUGGCAUGCAGUUUCUUGGAAUCCUUGUGACCUUUCGUCGUACAGACGGGAGCCAAAUGGGCACUGUAACACCCCAAGUGUUACUCAGGGUUUCUACUCUAGAGCCACACCCUGAGCUAUUAUCACAUGUGGAUUAGUGGAGCCUUUGAUGAACGUAACUUAACAACAAAGGGGUCAGCUAGUGUUUAAGAUCAUAUGAUGCUUACCUUGACCAUAUGGUGCAUACAAUAAGAGAAAAGUUUUAGAACCCUAAAGCUAUGUGAACCAAAAUAGAAAAUGUGAAAACAAACGAUGAAACAAUCCUUAUCACAAGUUGGGUAAUUACACAAGUUGAAGAUCUUGAAAAUAUCUAUCAGAGAUAGUAAGGAAGUUUCCCCAAAACAAGCCUUAAAUAGCCCCAAAUCGAUCACUAACUAGAAGAACCCUAGAGGGGAAAAUCAAUUUUUCUCUAAGUCUCCCCAACCGAAUGCAAAAACCUGCCGUGUCCACCUAUCUCCUCAACUCAAAUCCAAAUGGUCAAAUGGACAAAGUGGCGCCUAAUUACCUCAGACACGCCCUGGUAAAGUUUGACACCGAUCCAAGACCAUUUGACACGCCUUGGCAUGAGUUUUGUUGUGACUUGGGUACAGUGAUAGACCCGACUUGACACUAGCAUAUUUCCUCGCCCUAAGCAUAUCACAGCUCGAGACUCACAUGAAAAAGCAAGGAUUUGGAGCAGGGAAGAGAUACUACACGGGACCCUUGCCAAGAUAGGCAUGCUAGGGCAACUAAACAGGUGCUUGGACAUGAGCAGAAGCGAUCCUCCACGUGUUCGACCACGACUGACACUCGGGAGAGCGCUCUGACUGCGCCGCACAUGCCACGAGCUCCGGUCGGCUCGACCGCACGCCCAACCCCAUGACCGUACUCGAGCCCUCACCUAUAAGAAGCCCCAGUCCUCGGCCUUGCCCUCUCGCACACCCCAUACCUUUUACCAGCGACUGGACGAUAGUAAUCACUAGAGCACCGAGCGUGGUGUUGUCCGCAAGCUUGCUGACGCAUCAACCAGCUCAGACCAGCCACUCCAGCCUAACCCCUUCCAGUCUAACUCCCCGACCAGCUUCUCUAGAGGCUAGCGAAGUUUCCCAGCCACUCAGAUCGAACGAUACCUCACCAGAGAAGCCAUAACACCUCGCUGGACUUGUCCCUUCCACCGGUUCCCUCGGUUCAUGUAAUCUAACCAUCCAUUCGUUGAUUCCUUGCACACACACACUCCCUGCCACUUAGUGAACCUCCCUGUGCGAUCUGAUUGAGCUCUACCGCCAUGGAAUGGCUGGUGCAGACAUCACCGACAAGCUCCACUGCCUAGAUCCGUGGCCAGACCAGCUCCGGGCACCAAUGACGCCGACUCAUACCUCAACGUGACCGCCAGAGGCUCCCCAUCCUUGCUCGACCCUUCGCCGGAACCCUACCAACGCCGGUAAGAUGCUCCACCAUCUUCUUCGCCGUGGGUACUAUGUAACCUAGCUAGGGACCACAUAUUAGAGGUUAGGAAAACCCAGGGGGUUAUGCGCAAAGGUCUAGACUCAGGUGAAUAGUGCGCAAGGGACUAAUCCGAAAGAAAAGAGGGGAGGAAAUGCCAAGGACCCAUCUGGAAGAAGGUUUUCCCUUUCUUUUUUCGAAAAUCCAAUUUAAAUAAUCAUCAGAAAACUUUAAAAUUCAUAACUUGGGCAAAAUAUGACCAAAUUUAGUCAAACAAAUUUUACUAGGUUUUGGACAGGGUGAGCUUUAGAAUAAAAAUAGAAAACUCACUAGUCUAGUACUGUUUCUAGAAGUUUAGAUUUUUAUUAAGAUAUUAUGCAAUAUGAAAAAAUAGAAGUAAAAUUAAUAGAACUAUAAUACUGAAGCUAAGAAAUUUUUAGGAGAUAAUCAAUCAACAAUAGAGUCCCACAAAAUUAUUGUACACCACAGUCUUCUCAUUUAAGUAGAGAUUAUAAAAUGAAGUAGGUUUCGGCUCAUUUUCUUCGAAAAUAAAAUCAGGACCUAGACCUAUGAACCACAAGACCAGCGUAUUUUUCCUGGACUAAUAUAAAAGCAAGGUUUCAAGGAAAGAUAUAAAAAUGACCUAAGUAUGAAUAGGAAAUAUGUUUCUCUUGCCUAAUGAGAAAUUAUAAGGAACUUUAGAAAAUCAUACAACCCAUCCCCCAUAAGGAAAAAUGACAAAACUUAGGAAUGAUUGCUCUUGCGCAAAGAAAAGGUUAGGAAAAAUGCCAAAUCUUUUGUUUGACAUUUUUCUAAAGAAAAGUUAUUUAAAAGCACCUUUUAGCCCCACAACUUUAGAAAAUCAUAAACAAUUAUUCACUAAGUAUCAUUAAGUAUAUUUACACAUAAGGCCAUGGUAUUGCAUCUAGAUACCAGUAAAAAUAACCCUUGAACUUCUAAAUGGAAGGUCUAGUGUAAAGUGACCCCUCUACCCUAGUUUUGGUUAUUUUUGUUUAAACCCUAUUCUAAUUAAUUGUGAACUCAAAUUCCUAGAACACACUAAUUUCACCAAAGUUAAGCUACUGUAAAUUUUUAAGAAUUUUCGGAGAAUUCUAAGUAACCUUUGUAGUUCAAAUCACCAUUAAAAGGCUAGGGGAAAAUUAUAAUAAAAGAGGAACCCUAAAUGACCUAAUGUUACUCGACCAUGCAUCACAUUCAUCAUAUACAUUUUAUAAAUGUACAAGCAUCUUAUGCAUCAUAUUAAUAGAUUGCAACCUUGCUGAUGGAGAGUACGUGCUCAUCCCCGAGCAAGGAGACCAAGAGGAAGCUCAGGAGCUAGCUACAAAGGCUGCUACUGAGGACCUCCCUGCUGCCCCAGCAAUUGAAGGCAAGCCCCGUGUCACACCCGGAUUUAAGGGAUAAAGCCGGGUGUGUCUCAUAUGUGCGCCAAAGAAGAACAACACAUAUAAUGACCAAGUGUAUAGAGAUAAAUGUCACAAAUAUUAUUACAUAGCAGAAGUGUCUUACAAAAAUAAAUGAUAACAAUAAAGCGAACGAAUAAUUAUUCCUUGGCGCUAUCAAGCUGACUGGGAGACGCCACCUAGAUAAGCUCGUACUCCACGUUGUAGACCUUCUCCUGGACUACCUGCUCUUCACCUGUAGGGCGAGUUUAUAUAUCACAAGGGUGAGCUCACAAAAGAUCAUAACUCAAUAAGUUGUGGGCAAUAAUGUGCAUGAACUCACCAAAGGUGGGAGUUCAUGUGUAGUGUAAGGCUGAUCAACAAAUAAUGGUUAAAGCUGAGCAUUGCUUUUAAUAAGUUGGUCAAAUUUUAUUAGCAGUUACUAAAUUUAAGUGUUGGGGACUUGUUCUCAAAUGCUAUGAAUUAAGAACAAGGAAACACAAAAAUAGGUUAAUGGUUAAUGUCCUUCGUCCUUCGAAGCAUUAUUCCCUUAGGAUAUAACGAUCUUUAGACAAAGGUCGUGAAGGACGUACGUUCAUCAUCACAGUAUAUGUUAAAGAAGAAGUAUAUGAAACAUGAGAAAUAACAUGAGUAAUCAUAUGACACCAUUAAUAUAUCUUUAUUAUAUCAUCAUGAAUGAAUAAAAACAAUAUUGAAUUACAUUUAUACCUUCGGCUUGACAGAAGGUAAAAGUCCAAGCGUGACGCACGAGCGAAUACAAGCCAGAGUGAACAGUACAGGGGUACUGUUCACCUAUUUAUAGGCACGGGACGCAGCCCGGUCAAAAUUACAUUUAUGUCCUCGACAACUAAUUACAAUCAUGACACAAAUUGUCAUGGACCAAUUAGUCUUUUCCUCUUUAAGUCAGUGCAGCCCCUCGUCUCAAGGCAUAUCGCUAUGCCGAAGCUCCCUAGAUGGUAGCUUCGGCGUGUACCUUCGCGCUAUAUUUGCUUAUGUGUUGAUCUUCCAAAGGUGUUUCUUCUUAAAGGACCUUCGGCGACGAAGCAGACCCCCAACAGUAGCCCUUCGCGGUGCUAGAUCGUUUUUCAUAACGAGCUUGAUCCGUGAAAAAUCUCCAAGGCUUCGGAAUGCCAAAGGUCCAAAAAACACCUUCCCUGAGCUCGUUGCCGAGAAACGAUUAAAAUAUUCCGAGCGGGAGGUGGCCCACCAUGCGGCGGGUACGCACGGUCUGGCGAUUCACCUCCCAAGCGCCGAGUGGUCCACCGUUCAGCGGGUGCGGGUAACUGUUCAGCGGGUGUGGGCAUCUUGGCGAUUCACCUUCCCACCGACAACACUAUAUAAAAAGACGGGUAGGUGUGAAGUUACCACAACAUUCAUUGCCAUUGCGCCGUUGUGCUGUUGAAAAAUUUAACCAUAGCCGAAGCUUUUUCACUGCAUUCUCGAGCAAACCAUCAUCUUGAAUUAGCUUCGUCAAAAGAGGGAGCUUCAUCAAAAAACUGUAAAAAACAUCAGUUUCGUAAAAACUGCAAAAAAUUCAUCAUCAGAUGGCUAGAGUACGCUCAACUACAAGGGUGACCCGUGAAGGAGAGGAGAUCGAAGCCACCGAGAAAGCCCCGAUCUCCGAAGUCAUGAGGCAAUCGGGGUUAAUUGUGACAGAGGAAGCUAUUGACAAAGGUGCACCUACUGCCAAAGCUGAACAAGCUGACAUCGAAGAAGAAAAUGUUGAUGAAGAAGAGGAAGACUAUAACUCUCUGAUCCCAUCAAAACCUAGCCACUUGGAUUUUGAAAAGUCUACUGUGUUUGAGGUCGAUGUGCCCAUGAUGAUGAAGCUGGGUUAUUUCGGGGAAGCUGAGAAGAAGCUUAUUCGUUUUGCCGGAGAAGAAACCACUCCAAAGCCGAAAGAUGACGAAGUAGUGGUUUUCAAAAGCUUUUUCAGAGCAAGAUUGCGGUUUCCCUUGAACGAGAUGAUUGGGGAAGUUUUGGAUAAUUAUGAAAUCUAUCUUCAUUAGCUGACCCCUAACGCUAUUUUUAGGCUUAGCGUCUUCAUCUGGGCCCUUCGAAGCCAAGGAAUGGACCCAAAUGCUGAAGCUUUCUACCGAGUGCAUGCGCUACAUUACUAGACGAAGGCCAGAGAAGAUGGGCUACAUGAAAAUUUUGGCUGUUAUAACUUCGCGUAUCGCAAGGAUACGAAGGCUCCGGUGCUCAGCUAUCGCACCAAGUGGCCAACCGGCUGGAAAAGUGAGUGGUUCUAUAUCAAAGCUGAUGAGAAGAAGAGGGAGAAGUUGAAGACGAUGGUCAUGAGCCCACUGAGUUUAAGCUUCGGACUGACUAGGCCCCUGUGCCGCAUGAUGUCGGGGUCACCAUGCCAACAAGUUGUAGCAGAAUUCAGGGUGGUGGCUGAACAGAUCAGCACUAGAGAUCUAGUGCAAGAAUACCUGGCCAAUAGGGUAUCUCCAACGUUGAGUGAAUGGAGUAUGCUGAAGCUAAAGGGAACAAGGAAGAAGAAUGAACUUAUUCGAUUGCCUUAUCGCUUCAAAUUUGAAAAACAAUUCAAAGAGCCUUGCCAAGAGUGGCUAGAAAUGAUUGAAACUAUGUGCAAUGAAAUUUUGGGUAAUUAUACCAAAAAAGAAGAUCAACUGAUGACUGCGGCCUUCGGCACCCGACCAAAACGAAGGUUGAAUCAGGUAAUGGACGCUUUAAACUUUGAAUACCCUGAUUAUGAAUGACAACAAGGGUGCCUGAAAGGGAAAUGUGCCUUUGGGCCAUUUCUAAGUAUUUUGGUGAUUUAGUGUCCAACACAAGUGCCUAAGUGUAAAAUGGUGGACAAAGUACAAAUCAAGGAUAAAGGUAUGUUUCUCGGACUUAGUACAUUGUUUUAGAGACUAAUGUAUUGUGUCUAAGUGCUGGAAACAGGAAAAAUCGAAUUGGAAAUGAGAUGGCUUUGUUCAGCCAAAGUCUGCUCAGUCUGGGAGCACCGGACUGUCCGGUGGUGCACCGGACAGUGUCCGGUGCGCCAGGCUGGCUCGAGCGAACUGGCCGCUCUCGGGAAUUCACCGGUGAUGUACGACUAUAAUUCACCGGACUGUCCGGUGAGCCAAUGGUCGGCCGGGCCAACGGUCGGCCGCGCGAUCUGCGCGGGACACGUGGCCGAGCCAACGGCUAGAAGGGGGCACCGAACUGUCCGGUGUGCACCGGACAUGUCCGGUGCGCCAACGGCUCUCUGGCUGCCAACGGUCGGCUGCGCCAUUUAAGGAAAGAAAUCGGGCACCGGACAGUGUCCGGUGUGCACCGGACUGUCCGGUGCGCCACGCGACAGAAGGCAAGAAUUGCCUUCCCAGAUUGUUCUCAAUGGCUCCUAGCUGCCUUGGGGCUAUAAAAGGGACCCCUAGGCGCAUGGAGGAGAACACCAAGCAUUCCUUGAGCAUUCUUGAUCACUCACACAUCAUUCUUGCGCACUUGUUCGACAUUCUAGUGAUUUGAGCUCCAUUCUAGUGUGCUAGUCUCUUGAGCUCAAGUCUGGGUCUUGUGUGUGCAUAUUUGCUGUGAUCUUUGUGUCUUGUGUGAGUUGCUAAUCCCUCCCUUGCUCCGUGCUUCUUUGUGAACUUCAAGUGUAAGGGCGAGAGACUCCAAGUUGUGGAGAUUCCUUGCAAACGGGAUUAAGAAAAGCAAAGCAAAACACCGUGGUAUUCAAGUGGGUCUUUGGACCGCUUGAGAGGGGUUGAUUGCAACCCUCGUCCAUUGGGACGCCACAACGUGGAGUAGGCAAGCGUUGGUCUUGGCCGAACCACGGAAUAAACCAAUGUGUCAUCUCUGUGAUUGAUAUCCUUGUGGUUACUGUGUUUUGUUGAGACUCCUCUCCAGCCACUUGGUGAUUAUUGUGCUAACACUUAACCAAGUUUGUGGCUUAAGUUUUAAGUUUUACAGGAUCACCUAUUCACCCCCCCUCUAGGUGCUCUCAAUUGGUAUCGGAGCCGUUCUCUUCAAGAAGGGACUAAUCGCCCGAAGAGAUGGAUCCUAAGGGAAAGGGGAUGGUGAUCAACAACGAGAAGGAGUCUAUCUUCAACUAGCCGAAGGAUGACAAGCCUACCGACUCGGGCUCAGGCCACAAGCGCAAAGACGGGAAGAAGAAGACAAGGCGCAUCAAGGAGAUCGUCUACUACGACAGCGACAAAUCUUCCUCUUCCCAAAAGGAUGACGACGACUACGAGAAAAAGAAAACGGUCAAUUCAAACUUUUCUUUUGAUUACUCUCGUAUUCCUCAAAGUACAAAUGCUCAUCUAUUAUCUAUUCCACUUGGUAAACCUCCUCAUUUUGAUGGAGAGGACUACGGAUUUUGGAGUCACAAAAUGCGUAGUCACUUGUUCUCUCUCCAUCCUAGUAUAUGGGAGAUUGUAGAGAGUGGAAUGCACUUUGAUAGUACGGAUAGUCCCAUGUUCAUUAAUGAGCAAAUUCAUAAAAAUGCACAAGCUACUACUGUUCUUCUAGCUUCAUUGUGCAGGGAUGAAUACCACAAAGUGAGCGGCUUGGAUAACGCCAAGCAAAUUUGGGACACCCUCAAGAUCUCUCAUGAGGGGAAUGACGUCACAAUGCUCACUAAGAUGGAGUUGGUGGAGGGCGAACUCGGGAGAUUCGCUAUGAUCAUGGGAGAAGAGCCAACCCAAACGUACAACCGGCUUAAGACCCUUGUCAACAAGAUAAGAAGCUAUGGAAGCACGCGAUGGACGGACCACGACGUCGUCCGCCUAAUGCUAAGGUCUUUUACUGUCCUUGAUCCUCAUCUUGUAAACAAUAUUCGUGAGAAUCCCAGGUACACCAAGAUGACGCCCGAGGAGAUACUUGGAAAGUUCAUGAGCGGGCGAAUGAUGAUCAAGGAAGCAAGAUACGUGGAUGACGCAUUGAAUGGUCCAGUCAAUGAGCCUCAACCUCUUGCUCUCAAGGCAACAAGAAGCAAGGAGACGCUACCUAGCAAGGUGGCACAAAUUGAGGCUGCCAGACUUAAUGAUGAAGAGAUGGCUCUCAUCAUCAAGAGAUUCAAGACGGCGCUAAAAGGUCACAAGGGGCAGCCAAGCAAGACCAAGACAAAGGGGAAGCGCUCAUGCUUCAAAUGUGGUAAGCUUGGUCAUUUUAUUGCUAACUGUCCCAACAAUGAUAGUGAUCAGGAUCAAGGGAACAAGAGGGAGAAAAAGAAGAACUAUAAGAAGGCAAAGGGCGAGGCACAUCUAGGCAAGGAGUGGGAUUCGGAUUGCUCCUCUUCCGACUCCGACAAUGAAGGACUCUCCGCCACCUCCUUCAACAAGUCAUCCCUCUUCCCCAACGAGCGUCACACAUGCCUUAUGGCAAGGGAGAAGAAGGUAUGUACUCGAAACUCUACUUAUGCUUCUUCAAGUGAGGACGAAUCUAGUGAUGAGGAUGAAAUAGAUUAUUCAUGUUUAUUUAAGGGCCUAGAUAGAACCAAGGUAGAUAAAAUUAAUGAAUUGAUUGAUGCCUUGAAUGAUAAGAAUAGGCUUUUAGAAAAACAAGAGGAUUUGUUGUAUGAAGAACAUGACAAAUUUGUAGAAGCACAAAAAUCUCAUGCUCUAGAAGUUAAAAGAAAUGAAAUGCUUUCUUGUGAAUUAUCUUCUUGCCAUGAGACAAUUUCUAGUUUAAGGAGCAUUAAUGAUGAUUUGAAUGCUAAGUUAGAAAUAGCUAGUAAAUCAACAUCUUGUGUAGAAAUUGUUGAAACUUGCAAUAGGUGUAAAGACUUUGAUAUUAAUGCUUGUAGCAAACACCUAGCCUCAAUUUCUAAAUUAAGUGAAGAGGUGGCUAGUCUUAAUGCCCAACUUAAGACUAGCAAGAGUAAUUUUGAUAAACUCAAAUUUGCUAGGGAUGCCAACACGGUUGGUAGACACCCCUCUAUUAAGGAUGGACUUGGCUUCAAGAGGGAAGCCAAGAACUUAACAAACCAUAAGGCUCCCAUCUCCGCAAAGGAGAAAGGGAAGGCUCCUAUGGCAAGUAGUACUAAAAAGAACCAUGCUUUUAUGUACAAUGAUAGAAGACAGUCUCAUAGGAGUUGUAAUGCUUAUAAUGCUUUUGAUGCACAUGCCUAUGAUUCUUAUGCUAUGUUUGCUUCUAGUUCUUCUUAUAUGCAUGAUAGAGAUAUGUCUAGGAGUUAUGUUCAUCAUGUGCCUAGAAAGAAUAUUGUUCAUGUUUCUAGGAAAGUUAUGGAUGGUCCUUCUACAAUAUAUCAUGCUUUAAAUGCUUCCUUUGCUAUUUGUAGAAAGGAUAGGAAGAUAAUGGCUAGGAAAUUAGGGGCAAAAUGCAAGGGUGAUAAAACUUGCAUUUGGGUCCCUAAGACAAUUGUGACUAACCUUGUAGGACCCAACAAGAGUUGGGUACCUAUGUCCCAAGCCUAAAUUUGCCUUGCAGGUUUAUGCAUCCGGGGGUUGAAGCUGGAUUAUCGACAGCGGAUGCACAAACCACAUGACAGGGGAGAAGAAGAUGUUUACCACCUACGUCAAGAACAAGGAUUCCCAAGAUUCAAUUAUAUUCGGUGAUGGGAAUCAAGGCAAGGUGAAAGGUUUAGGCAAGAUUGCAAUUUCAAAUGAGCACUCUAUCUCUAAUGUAUUUUUAGUUGAGUCCCUUGGAUAUAAUUUGCUAUCUGUUAGUCAAUUAUGUAAUAUGGGAUAUAAUUGUCUAUUUACAAAUGUAGAUGUGUCUGUCUUUAGAAGAAGUGAUGGUUCAUUAGCUUUUAAUGGUGUAUUAGACGACAAACUUUAUUUAGUUGAUUUUGCAAAAGAGGAGGCCGGUCUAGAUGCAUGCUUAAUUGCUAAGACUAGCAUGGGCUGGCUGUGGCAUCGCCGCUCAUCACAUGUGGGGAUGAAGAACUUACACAAGCUUAUAAAGGGAGAACACGUGAUAGGUCUAACCAAUGUUACUUUCGAAAAAGAUAGACCUUGUGCAGCUUGUCAAGCAGGUAAACAAGUGGGAGGAGCGCAUCACAGCAAGAAUGUGAUGACCACAUCAAGAUCCCUGGAGCUGCUACAUAUGGACCUCUUCGGACCCGUCGCCUAUCUAAGCAUAGGGGGAAGUAAGUAUGGUUUAGUUAUUGUGGAUGACUUUUCCCGCUUCACUUGGGUAUUCUUCUUGCAAGAUAAGUCUGAAACCCAAAGGACCCUCAAGCGCUUCCUAAGGAGAGCUCAAAACGAGUUUGAGCUCAAAGUGAAGAAGAUAAGGAGCGACAAUGGGUCUGAGUUCAAGAACUUUCAAGUGGAGGAGUACCUUGAGGAGGAAGGGAUCAAGCACGAGUUCUCCGCUCCCUACACACCACAACAAAAUGGUGUGGUAGAGAGGAAGAACAGGACGCUCAUAGAUAUGGCGAGGACGAUGCUGGGAGAGUUCAAGACCACCGAGUGCUUUUGGUCGGAAGCCGUGAACAUGACUUGCCACGCCAUCAACAGGGUCUACCUUCAUCGCCUCCUCAAGAAGACAUCGUAUGAGCUGCUAACCGGUAACAAACCCAAUGUAUCGUACUUUCGUGUAUUUGGGAGUAAAUGCUACAUUCUAGUGAAGAAGGGUAGGAAUUCCAAAUUUGCUCCCAAAGCUGUAGAAGGGUUUUUGUUAGGUUAUGACUCAAAUACAAAGGCGUAUAGAGUCUUCAACAAAUCAUCGGGUUUGGUUGAAGUCUCUAGCGACAUUGUAGUUGAUGAGACUAAUGGCUCUCCAAGAGAGCAAGUUGUUGAUCUUGAUGAUGUAGAUGAAGAAGAUGUUCCGACGGUCGCUAUACGAACCAUGGCGAUUGGUGAUGUACGACCACAGGAACAAAAUGAGCAAGAUCAACCUUCUUCCUCAACUAUGGUGCAUCCCCCAACUCAAGACGAUGAACAGGUUCAUCAACAGGAGGCGUGUGAUCAAGGGGGAGCACAAGAUGAUCAUGUGAUGGAGGAAGAAGCGCAACCGGCACCUCCAACCCAAGUUCGAGCGAUGAUUCAAAGGGAUCAUCCCGUCGAUCAAAUUCUGGACGAUAUUAGCAAGGGAGUAACUACUCGAUCUCGAUUAGUUAAUUUUUGUGAGCAUUACUCCUUUGUCUCUUCUAUUGAGCCUUUCAGGGUAGAAGAAGCCUUGCUAGAUCCGGACUGGGUGUUGGCCAUGCAAGAGGAGCUCAACAACUUCAAGAGGAAUGAAGUUUGGACGCUGGUGCCUCGUCCUAAGCAAAAUGUUGUGGGAACCAAGUGGGUGUUCCGCAACAAACAAGACGAGCACGGAGUGGUGACAAGGAACAAGGCUCGACUUGUGGCAAAAGGUUAUGCCCAAGUCGCAGGUUUGGACUUUGAGGAGACUUUUGCUCCUGUGGCUAGGCUAGAGUCCAUUCAUAUUUUGCUAGCAUAUGCCGCUCACCAUUCUUUCAGGUUGUUCCAAAUGGAUGUGAAGAGCGCUUUCCUCAACGGGCCAAUCAAGGAGGAGGUGUACGUAGAGCAACCCCUGGCUUCGAGGAUGAACGGUACCCCGACCAUGUGUGUAAGCUCUCUAAGGCGCUCUAUGGACUUAAGCAAGCCCCAAGAGCAUGGUAUGAAUGCCUUAGAGACUUUCUAAUUGCUAAUGCUUUCAAGGUUGGGAAAGCCGAUCCAACUCUUUUCACUAAGACUUGUGACGGUGAUCUUUUUGUGUGCCAAAUUUAUGUCGAUGACAUAAUAUUUGGUUCUACUAACAAAAAGUCUUGUGAAGAGUUUAGCAGGGUGAUGACGCAGAAAUUCGAGAUGUCGAUGAUGGGCGAGUUGAACUACUUCCUUGGGUUCCAAGUGAAGCAACUCAAGGACGGCACCUUCAUCUCUCAAACGAAGUACACACAAGACUUGCUGAAGCGGUUUGGGAUGAAGGACGCCAAGCCCGCAAAGACUCCGAUGGGGACCGACGGACACACUGAUCUCAACAAAGGAGGUAAGUCCGUUGAUCAAAAGGCAUACCGGUAAUGAUAGGGUCAUUACUUUACUUAUGUGCUAGUAGACCGGAUAUUAUGCUUAGUGUAUGCAUGUGUGCUAGAUUUCAAUCCGAUCCUAAGGAGUGUCACUUAGUGGCGGUGAAGCGAAUUCUUAGAUAUUUAGUUGCUACGCCUUGCUUCGGGAUCUGGUAUCCAAAGGGGUCUACCUUUGACUUAAUUGGAUAUUCAGAUUCCGACUAUGCUGGAUGUAAGGUCGAUAGGAAGAGUACAUCGGGGACGUGCCAAUUCUUAGGAAGGUCCCUGGUGUCGUGGAACUCUAAGAAACAAACUUCCGUUGCCCUAUCCACCGCUGAGGCCGAGUAUGUUGCCGCAAGACAGUGUUGCGCGCAACUACUUUGGAUGAGGCAAACCCUCAGGGACUUUGGCUACAAUAUGAGCAAAGUCCCACUCCUAUGUGAUAAUGAGAGUGCUAUCCGCAUGGCGGAAAAUCCUGUUGAACACAGUCGCACAAAGCACAUAGACAUCCCGCAUCACUUUUUGAGAGACCACCAGCAAAAGGGAGAUAUCGAAGUGUUUCAUGUUAGCACCGAGAACCAGCUAGCCGAUAUCUUUACCAAGCCUCUAGAUGAGAAGACCUUUUGCAGGUUGCGUAGUGAGCUAAAUGUCCUAGAUUCGCGGAACUUGGAUUGAUUUAUAACAUACAUGUGUUUAUGCCUUUGAUCAUGUUCCUUAUGCAUUUUGUUGCUUAAUAAUGGUGCUCAAGUUGUACAAACACUCCCUGGACCUCACAAGUCCGUUGCAAAGUGAUGCACAUAUUUAGGGGGAGCUGUGCCACAACUUGACCCUUUGAGACUAACCAUGUGCUUGAGUUUGCUUGUUUUAGUCUCAAAGGAAGUUUGAAAGGGAAAAGGUGGACUUGGACCAUGAAAGACUUCCACUGCACUCCGAUGAGAGGGUAACUUAUUCCAAGUUCAUCUCAUGUACUCUUAUUGCUGUUGUAUUCUUAUUGAUGUGCACCCGUUGGGUGAUUGCCCGAUCUUUCGAUGAGAGGGUGUGGAAUAACUCGAUUGGGGGAGGAGACGACGUUCACGGCCCGACUACAGCCUUCCAAAGACGCUGCGCCUUAGCAACCGAUACACCACCUCCUAUGGCUGUCACGAUCUUGUGGAGCGUGACACCCUGGCCACUAGGGCACUCGUCCUGCAAGCAAUCGAAGAACUAGCAAGAACAAGUAGAACAAGUACUGAAUUACCAGAUCUAAAUGUAGGUUUAAAGAUCAAACUACAAUAUGGUGGGGUUCCGAAGACAAGAAGACGGGCGGCUGAACUAGCACGCGCGCUUGCAAGCAAGUAGCGAGAGCUAAACUUGAUCUAAACAAAACCCGCUGUUCUUGGUGGCGGCUAGGGGGUUUAUAAACAUGGGAGGACGACCACAAGGGUAUUGGGGUCGUGCUGCAACCCUAGGAUGCGUCCCUAAUGGACCUAACUUGAUACACGACCCAUUGGGCCAAAAUAGGGUGACGCAGCACCAUGGGCAGAAAAGGCAGGAAAUGUCUCGGUAAGAAAACAAUGAUUACGGCGGCCUCAGAACAGAUAUGACUAUAAUUCCGGAUCCAUAUGAAAGUAGACUUGAUAAGCUUUCCAUGUUGUGCUUGAACAUUCCAAUCCGAGCCCGCAUCUGACCGUGGUGACCGUCACAAGUUGGUGUUCUUCUGCAGUCCGAAUCCAGCAUGUUCAAAUCCUUUUCCCUUUCGGUCUUCUCCCUGAUUCCUAAGCAAAACAAGAGUGCACGGGUCUCCAUGGUCUAAAUAUGAUGGACAUGAACUCAAGAGUGUAAUCACCUGAUGGUUGAGUUGACGAGCACGAGCGCGAGUAAUGGGACCAGAAAUUGGUACUUGUAUUGGUAUAGAUGCAUCAGUAGUGUGGAUGUCUUCAUCAUUCUCCCCUUCUUGCAUUUGAGUCGUCCUCGACUCAAGCUCAACUUCCUCUCCCAAGUAGGGCUUUAAAUCUGCAAUGUUAAAUGUGGGGCUAACCCCAAAGUCUGCAGGCAGAUCUAGCCUAUAUGCAUUGUCGUUAAUUUUCUCUAGCACUUUAAACGGUCCAUCGGCUCGAGGCAACAAUUUAGAUUUUCGUAAUUCAGGAAACCUUUCCUUUCUCAAAUGCAACCAAACUAAAUCUCCAGGUUCAAAAUUUAUUUCCUUUCUACCUUUAUCACUAGCAAACUUAUAUCUAGCAUUCAUACGCUCUAUGUUUUCUUUAGUAGUUUCGUGCAGUUUUAACAUCAAUUCAGCACGCCUAGUAGCAUCAAAAUUUAGUUUUUCAGAAGAUGGCAAAGGCAUUAAAUCAAUAGGAGCACGAGGUAACAAACCAUAUACAAUCUGAAAUGGGCACAUCUUUGUAGUAGAAUGCAAUGAUCGAUUAUAAGCAAAUUCAAUAUGAGGCAAACAGUCCUCCCACAUCUUAAUAUUCUUCUUUAGAACUGCCCUUAACAUAGUAGACAAAGUUCUAUUCACAACUUCAGUUUGACCAUCAGUUUGAGGAUGACAUGUAGUAGAAAAUAAAAGCUUAGUCCCCAAUUUUGCCCACAAAGUCCUCCAAAAAUGACUAAGAAAUUUAGCAUCACGAUCAGAAACGAUUGUGUUGGGCACACCAUGCAAGCGAACAAUUUCACGAAAGAACAAAUCAGCAAUAUGAGUAGCAUCGUCAGUUUUAUGACAUGGUAUGAAAUGUGCCAUCUUAGAAAAUCUAUCAACAACCACAAACACACUAUCACGUCCCUUCCUAGUCCUAGGCAAUCCCAGCACAAAAUCCAUAGAAAUAUCUUCCCAAGGAGCACUAGGAACGGGUAGAGGCAAAUACAAACCGUGUGGAUUUAACCGUGACUUCGCCUUUUGGCAUGUCGUGCAACGAGCAACCAAUCUCACCACAUCUCUUCUCAUCUUGGGCCAAAAGAAAUGACCAGCAAGUAUGUCCUCCGUUUUCUUUGCUCCAAAAUGUCCCAUUAAGCCACCUCCAUGUGCUUCCUGUAACAACAACAAACGAACGGAGCUAGCUGGAAUGCAUAGUUUGUUAGCUCUAAACACAAACCCAUCACUAACGAUAUAUUUGUUCCAUCCUUUCCCAUCUUUACAAUGCAGCAACACAUCUUUAAAAUCAGCAUCAUGAACAUAUUGGUCUUUAAUCGUCUCUAAUCCAAAGAUUUUGUAGUCAAGUUGAUUCAGCAAAGUAUAUCUCCUAGACAAAGCGUCAGCAAUGAUAUUCUCUUUUCCUUUCUUGUGCUUAAUAACAUAAGGAAACGAUUCGAUAAAUUCAACCCACUUAGCAUGUCUACGGUUCAGUUUUCCUUGACUACGAAUAUGUUUCAAAGAUUCAUGAUCAGAAUGAAUAACAAACUCUUUGGGCCACAAAUAAUGCUGCCAUGUUUCUAAUGUUCGCACAAGAGCAUAUAAUUCCUUAUCAUAAGUAGAAUAAUUUAGAACAAACCCACUCAAUUUUUCACUAAAAUAUGCAACAGGUUUGCCUUCUUGUAACAAAACACCACCCAAUCCAAUUCCACUAGCAUCACAUUCAAGCUCAAAAGUCUUAUUAAAAUCAGGAAGUUGGAGGAGAGGUGCAUGUGUCAACUUAUCUUUCAGCACGUUGAAAGCGUGCUCUUGUACUUUGCCCCAACUAAAAUGCACUCCCUUCUUCGUAAGCUCAUUCAAAGGUGCAGCAAUGGUGCUAAAGUCCUUCACAAAACGGCGAUAGAAGCCAGCAAGUCCUAGGAAACUCCGCACCUGUGUGAUAGUCUUUGGCAUAGGCCAUCCAUGUAUCGCUUCUACCUUGGCUUGAUCAACCUCAAUUCCCUGUGGAGUCACAACAUAACCAAGAAACGAAACUCGAUCGGUGCAAAAUGUGCACUUCCCAAGGUUACCAAAUAAACGUGCAUCUCGUAAAGCAUUAAAAACAGCACGCAUGUGAUCAACAUGUUCAUCCAUAGAUUUGCUGUAGAUCAAUAUGUCAUCAAAGUAUACUACCACAAAUUUUCCAAUGAAGGCACGCAAAACCUCGUUCAUUAAUCUCAUGAAAGUGCUAGGUGCAUUAGUUAACCCAAAAGGCAUGACUAACCACUCAUACAAUCCGAACUUAGUUUUGAAAGCAGUUUUCCAUUCAUCUCCCAAUUUCAUACGAAUCUGGUGGUACCCACUACGCAAAUCAACUUUAGAAAACACAAUGGCACCACUCAAUUCAUCAAGCAUAUCAUCUAAACGUGGAAUAGGGUGUCGAUAACGUAUCGUGAUAUUAUUAAUAGCCCUACAAUCAACACACAUACGCCAUGUUCCAUCUUUUUUAGGCACUAAAAUAACCGGAACAGCACACGGACUAAGAGACUCACGCACGUAACCUUUGUCGAGUAGUUCUUGCACUUGUCGCUGAAUUUCUUUUGUUUCCUCUGGAUUUGUCCUAUAUGGCGCACGAUUCGGCAAAGAUGCACCAGGAAUAAGAUCAAUUUGGUGCUCAAUCCCUCGUAUAGGUGGCAGCCCCUCUGGUAUCUCACUUGGAAAUACAUCAGAAUACUCCUGCAAAAUGUUAGUAAUAACAGGAGGCAAAGAAUGCUGCAUAUCUUGAAUUGAAAUCAAAGCAUCCUUGCAUACCAAGGCGUAGGCAACAGUAGUGGAAGCAAAUAAUUCAUUAACAUCAGUUUUUGUUGCAAGCAAGCAAUGUCCUUUCAAUUUUAUCCCAUCUUUGUUAUUACCAACAGCUUUAAUAUUCUUGUUGUUCUCAGUUUUAGCUUUGGUAGCUUUAGCAACAUCAUCACGCACAAUAGCCUCAGGGGACAUGGGAAGCAAAAUAAUUUUCUUAUCAUGGUGUAUGAGAGAAUAUUGAUUUGAUCUACCAUGAUGCAUACAAUCUGAAUCAAAUUGCCAUGGUCUACCUAGCAGAAUAUUACAAGCAUCCAUAGGCACAACAUCACAGUCAACAACAUCACGAUAUGAACCAAUAGCAAAAUUAAUUCGUACCAGCUUGGUUACCUUGACCUUACCACUAUUGUUGAGCCAUUGAAUGUGAUAUGGAUGCGGGUGCGGUUUGGUCGUAAGUGCAAGCUUCUCCACCAUGUCGCUGCUAGCCAAGUUGUUGCAGCUACCUCCAUCAAUGAUCAAACGACAUGAACGCUCCUUAAUGACACACUUUGUUUGAAACAACGUAUGUCGCUGAUUCUGCUCUGCCUUCUCCAUUUGUGCACUAAGCACACGCUGUACAAUGAGGCUCUCAUAAUGCUCUGCAUCAUCUGCACCAAUCUGUUCUUCGGGUGGUUCCUUAGUGCCUGCAUCAUCAGCCGCAAGCAAAGCAAGUGUAGCUUCAUCCAAAUCACUAGCAGAGGAAUACCCACCAUCGUCUUUUACCACCAAAACACGCUGAUUAGGACAAUCACGCUGCACGUGUCCAUAGCCCUUGCAUCGAUAACACAGAACAUCUCUUGUUCUACCUGUGGAAGCUACUGAAGAGGCACUACCUGCGGGUUUCUGGGCAGAUUUGGUUGCUGAAUUUGUGGAAGAUGCACGUGGUUUGUCGCUGGAGGAAGGCGGGGGUGCUGGUCGACUUGGCGAAGGAGUUGGUGCUGGUGUACGGCCGGUCAUGGACGUAGUCGUGCGCUGGUGCCAUGGUGUAGAUUUUCCUGCAGAAACAAUAGACCUUGCACUAGCACGUCGUCCCUGCACUUCCCUUUCAGCUUUGCAAGCAAGAUGAAACAAUCGGGUUACAUUAGCAUAAUCUUUAUAAGCAAGGAUGUCCUGAAUUUCCCUAUUUAACCCGCCCAAAAAUCUAGCCAUAGCAGAUUCCUCACCCUCCUCUAUGUUACAACGCAGCAUACCCAUUUGUAAUUCCUGAUAAUAUUCUUCUACACUUUUAGUACCCUGUCUCAAUUGUUGCAACUUGUUUAACAUAUCACGUGCAUAAUAAGAAGGAACAAAUCUAGCCCGCAUGACCCGUUUCAACGCAUCCCAAGUUUGUGGCAUGUUAUUAGGAUUCUUCUUACCAUGUUCUAUCCACCAAACAGAAGCAAAUUCAGUAAACUCACUAGUAGCAGCUCUAACCCGCGCAUUCUCAGGAAAUUCAUGGCAUGCAAACUUUUGAUCAACCGCAAUCUCCCAAGUAAUGUAAGCAUCAGGGUCAUAUUUACCAUCAAAAGGAGGUAUUUUAAAUUUAACCUUACUAAAAGCAUCAUCAUUACCAUGUACCUCACGUCGGUGAAAACCACCCAUACCUCUACGGUUAGUACGUAGUCGCCGGCGAUUAGGUGCUUCUUGGUCAUCUUGUUCAGUAUCAGCAACAUAGUCAUCCCAGUUACCUUCGGCGCCCUCAUCACGCCCACCAUUGAUAUUAGUAUGCAUCUCAUCAAACCGCCUCAAGAGUGCGACAAGGCUCUUGUCAAUAUGAGCAACUGUCAUUUCCACAUUUGCAAGUUUGGUGUUCGUGUCGAUCUGUGUGGCCUCCAAUUGCCCCAUCUUUUCAUUCGUCACCUGCAUGUCAUUAUCAAGACCUUCCGUGUGCGUCUUCACUAGCCUUACAAAGUGUUGUAUGAUACCCUUGGUGCGAGGAGAGUGUGGCAUAUUACGAGAAGCAUCAUCAACCUCCAAUCCUGCCAUGGUUAGACGAACAGAGGCAACAAGAAAAAAAAAACGUGAAGGAAUAAAAACUCUACAACUAUUAGGAUGUAGCUACUGCAAGGCGCUCACUCUCAACCUGCCACACAAGCUCUUACCAAUUCUUACCUUGCACAACAGGAGGGGUCAGCAACCAACAAGUCUGCAACCGUGGAAUAAGUGUAUCGGUGCCGCAGCAACACGACCUGUCAAACUGUAGUCGAAAUAUGUAGAGUUGUAGGUGGGCUGAAGCAAGGAAUACACUAGUACCACGUUAGUUACAAAAGCAAGCUGAAUAAUCGUUCAACGGUGGUACUGUGCUGGUCCUAGGCUAAACCAGGCUAGAGACGUGAGCCUAGGCACAAAGGUAGUCACUGAAAAAGAACAACUAGCACAGCACAAAGAGAAACAACAGAUUUAGAGAUUCAGCCCCCUUCUUCUUCUUUUCCUUUUUUUUUCUUUUCUAUUCUUUUUUUUUCUUCUUCUUCUGUUUUUUUUUGCAGGGGCCUAAACCCUUUUUUUUUCACUAUGACAACCCAAACAAUAAAGAUAUUGCUAACAACCCCUUUAAAUCAGAUUUAACAAAUCUUGUUAAUAUAGGAAGUCCAGAAAUCUCUACGAUGAUUGCGGAGCGCUCAGAACGAAUUUUGAGAUAAGGUCAGAUCCGUUGGAAAGAAGAUAAGAUAAGCUUUCCAGAUUGUAUUUAAACUUCCAAAUCGGAUAUGAUAUGUAUCCGUGGUGGCAAAAACGAACCAGAGAUGUUUUUGGUGAUGGUGGAUUUCGUGGUGACCAAAACGUGGUAGAACUCAAAACUCUAAAGGAAUAAACUAAGACCAGCAACUCGACACAACCGAUGCAACCAAAAACUCAACAAGCCCUAACUAAGUAGUACUAGUAAAUGCUCAAUGGUUUAUAGGAUUGCGGUAAAACUAAUCUACUAUUUUUUGGCUUUUUCUGGACUAUAGGAGAUAAGAAAACAGCGAAGAAAAGUAAAUCUCUCACCGAUAAACCUUGCUCUGAUUACCAACUGAUGUGCACCCGUUGGGUGAUUGCCCGAUCUUUCGAUGAGAGGGUGUGGAAUAACUCGAUUGGGGGAGGAGACGACGUUCACGGCCCGACUACAGCCUUCCAAAGACGCUGCGCCUUAGCAACCGAUACACCACCUCCUAUGGCUGUCACGAUCUUGUGGAGCGUGACACCCUGGCCACUAGGGCACUCGUCCUGCAAGCAAUCGAAGAACUAGCAAGAACAAGUAGAACAAGUACUGAAUUACCAGAUCUAAAUGUAGGUUUAAAGAUCAAACUACAAUAUGGUGGGGUUCCGAAGACAAGAAGACGGGCGGCUGAACUAGCACGCGCGCUUGCAAGCAAGUAGCGAGAGCUAAACUUGAUCUAAACAAAACCCGCUGUUCUUGGUGGCGGCUAGGGGGUUUAUAAACAUGGGAGGACGACCACAAGGGUAUUGGGGUCGUGCUGCAACCCUAGGAUGCGUCCCUAAUGGACCUAACUUGAUACACGACCCAUUGGGCCAAAAUAGGGUGACGCAGCACCAUGGGCAGAAAAGGCAGGAAAUGUCUCGGUAAGAAAACAAUGAUUACGGCGGCCUCAGAACAGAUAUGACUAUAAUUCCGGAUCCAUAUGAAAGUAGACUUGAUAAGCUUUCCAUGUUGUGCUUGAACAUUCCAAUCCGAGCCCGCAUCUGACCGUGGUGACCGUCACAAGUUGGUGUUCUUCUGCAGUCCGAAUCCAGCAUGUUCAAAUCCUUUUCCCUUUCGGUCUUCUCCCUGAUUCCUAAGCAAAACAAGAGUGCACGGGUCUCCAUGGUCUAAAUAUGAUGGACAUGAACUCAAGAGUGUAAUCACCUGAUGGUUGAGUUGACGAGCACGAGCGCGAGUAAUGGGACCAGAAAUUGGUACUUGUAUUGGUAUAGAUGCAUCAGUAGUGUGGAUGUCUUCAUCACUUAUUGAAGAUUUUGGUGAGGCAAUGGGGUUCUAGAGCCAAGAUUCAUCCUGUUUUGGAGCUUGAUGCCAAAGGGGGAGAAAAUAAAGGCCAAAGCGAAUGGAUCAGCUACCACUUGAGAGAUUUUUGAAAAUAGUAGAAUAGAGCUUUUGGUUUGUCAAAACUCUUUUAUUGUCUCUCUUGUCAAAAGUUGGCUUCAUGUGGGGAGAAAUGUUGAUUAUGAAAAAAGGGGAGUUUUUGAAAUCUUGAAUCAAUUUCUCUUGGAAUGACUCUCUUUAUGUCUUAACAUGUGUGUUUGACUUAGAGAUAGAAAUUUGAGUUUGAUUUGCAAAAACAAACCAAGUGGUGGCAAAGAGUGAUCCAUAUAUGUCAAAUUUGAAUCAAAACAAUUUGAGUUCUUAUUUGAAUUGAUUUUGUAUUUGUUCUACUUGCUUUAUAUUGUGUUGGCAUAAAUCACCAAAAAGGGGGAGAUUGAAAGGGAAAUGUGCCUUUGGGCCAUUUCUAAGUAUUUUGGUGAUUUAGUGUCCAACACAAGUGCCUAAGUGUAAAAUGGUGGACAAAGUACAAAUCAAGGAUAAAGGUAUGUUUCUCGGACUUAGUACAUUGUUUUAGAGACUAAUGUAUUGUGUCUAAGUGCUGGAAACAGGAAAAAUCGAAUUGGAAAUGAGAUGGCUUUGUUCAGCCAAAGUCUGCUCAGUCUGGGAGCACCGGACUGUCCGGUGCGCUAGGCUGGCUCAAGCGAACUGGCCGCUCUCGGGAAUUCACUGGCGACGUACGGCUAUAAUUCACCGGACUGUCCGGUGUGCACCGGACUGUCCGGUGAGCCAACGGUCGGCCGGGCCAACGGUCGGCCGCGCGAUCUGCGCGGGACACGUGGCCGAGCCAACGGCUAGAAGGGGGCACCGGACUGUCCGGUGUGCACCGGACAUGUCCGGUGCGCCAACGGCUCUCUGGCUGCCAACGGUCGGCUGCGCCAUUUAAGGAAAGAAAUCGGGCACCGGACAGUGUCCGGUGUGCACCGGACUGUCCGGUGCGCCACGCGACAGAAGGCAAGAAUUGCCUUCCCAGAUUGCUCUCAACGGCUCCUAGCUGCCUUGGGGCUAUAAAAGGGACCCCUAGGCGCAUGGAGGAGAACACCAAGCAUUCCUUGAGCAUUCUUGAUCACUCACACAUCAUUCUUGCGCACUUGUUCGACAUUCUAGUGAUUUGAGCUCCGUUCUAGUGUGCUAGUCUCUUGAGCUCAAGUCUGGGUCUUGUGUGUGCAUAUUUGCUGUGAUCUUUGUGUCUUGUGUGAGUUGCUAAUCCCUCCCUUGCUCCGUGCUUCUUUGUGAACUUCAAGUGUAAGGGCGAGAGACUCCAAGUUGUGGAGAUUCCUUGCAAACGGGAUUAAGAAAAGCAAAGCAAAACACCGUGGUAUUCAAGUGGGUCUUUGGACCGCUUGAGAGGGGUUGAUUGCAACCCUCGUCCAUUGGGACGCCACAACGUGGAGUAGGCAAGCGUUGGUCUUGGCCGAACCACGGAAUAAACCACUGUGUCAUCUCUGUGAUUGAUAUCCUUGUGGUUACUGUGUUUUGUUGAGACUCCUCUCCAGCCACUUGGUGAUUAUUGUGCUAACACUUAACCAAGUUUGUGGCUUAAGUUUUAAGUUUUACAGGAUCACCUAUUCACCCCCCUCUAGGUGCUCGCGGUGCCGAAGGGACAAAGAGAAAAAUGGUUGUUAGUGUUCCGAGUAGACAAGCUACUAGGAUGGUGAAAGAUGAUGAAGAAGCUCUAAAAAAGAGAAAAUCCAGUCCUGAGCCGACGGUGGCUGCUUCGAAGAAGAGAAAAGCUGCAACUCCGGAGCCAAAAGCAGCUGAGAUAGAAGAAGAAACUCCUUCAACGCCUUCUGCUGCUUAAGUAGAAGAAAUUUUAAAGGUAAUGACUGAAUCCUUACCUAUCAAGCUGCUAAGUCCUCUGGGGCCGCAACUGACGAAGCUUUUACAGAAGAAGGACGGGCCUUCGACAGCGAAAAAGGCGGUUGGGCCAAAAAGCGAAGAAUUGUUACCGUUAUGCAAGCCAUUGAGGAAACGCCACCGCCGGCCUCAGCAUCGAAAGUAACACCUGCUGCCGAAGUUGCGACUGCCGAAGCUACCAAUCUAGAGAGUACAAUAUCUGCUAUUGAUAAAGUGCUCUUGGAUUUGGCCGCGGAGGAGGCUGCUGCGGCUGCAGAAGAAGUCCUGGCCGCAGUGCCUGAGAAAGGGAAGGAAAUUGUUGAAGAUAUUUCGGAAGGAAAAGGCUUCAACUUUCAAAAUAUAAUUGUCCAAGAAUUAUCCAAGGCUGAGAAGGAGCUGCAGGAGUAUGCUAUAUCCUGUGGCUACCAGCCAGGAGCCAUGCUCUUCGGCGGAAUUAACGAAGAAGCCUUAGGAUGUAUUCGAGAUCGAACUGGGGCAAAGGUUAUCAUCACUCUGUCAAAGAGUACUGGUUUUCUGAAGCUUGAAACUGACAUCAGCAGCUACCGACGACAGCAUAUCGUUGACAACUUAUUCUAUUCUAAUUUUAAGGUAAAGUUUUUUCCUCAACUUUUUAUUGUUUUGUGAUGAAGCAAAGAUUUCUGAUGAAGGUUAUUUUUGCGCAGAGUAUGCUGCUAAGCAAAGCCUUAAGAAUGCAACAGGACCUCCAAGAUAAGAAGAAUGAGGUUAUAAUUGAGGGCUUGGAAAGUAAAAUCAAAGAUCAUGAAGCUGCUCUUGAAAAGAAAGAUUUUCUUCUUCAAACAAUGGAGGGUUCAUUGGCAGAAGCCCAAGCCGAAAUUGCCAGAUUAAACAAUGAACUCCUCCUAAAAUCAGAAAGUUUUGAGCAAGAAAAGAAGAAUUUUGAUGUGAAGCUUGAAGCCGAAAUCGAAAAAAGUUCGAAUUUGCAAAAAUCCUUGAAAGAGCUUCAGGACAAAUGCUUAAACUUCGGCAACCGAUGCGUGCAACGGCUGAAACAGGUCUUCAACUCGGUUGGUGCCAGCUCUGAAAAAUUAGAACCUUCGAUUGAAGACCUGCCAAGCACCUUCGAACAUAUUGAGGGUGAAGUUGAGGCGCUCGACGAAGUUAUAGCUCGGCAUGGUGACUUCUGUGCCCUGCUAGCUUCUCGCGGCACAGCUGUAGCUUUUAUGAAGGCUAGUUGUACGCACGGGAAGAUUGUAAACAAGCCGAACUUCAGCCUAUCACCAGCGAACUUGACUGAUAUCCCCAGCCAAUCCCGAAGCAUUGGAAAUAGAUUUAUAACACAAAUCUGGACGAAGGGUGGGCGAAACUUAGCUGGUGACCAAGCUCGAAGUCAUCUUAAGCCGAUAUUAAACUUGUACUUUGUUGCUUACCUUCUCGUGAGAAUACCUUUUACCUUAUACGACUUUGUUGUGUACAGGAUGACGAUGCCGAAGGUUAGUAAUCUGAAGCUUGACGGAGACUGAUGAAGCUGCUGGACAAAGCUUUAGAGACAUCUGAAUUAUCUUUGUAAAAGUUUGUAAUUUAGGAAUCAAACAUUACUCUGUAAAUUUGUCCAUACCUUGUAAUAUAUAUUUUUACCUUUUCAUCCGUGUAUGAAUUGCUUUGAUGUGGACGAAACUUGUAUCUUUUGAGCCGAAGGCGAAAAACAUCUUCCCUACUUUUCGUACACAACGAAGCAUAUCUUUGCUUCUUUAUACUCAUCGAAGCAUUGCCAUCAAAGCCGAAGCAUCUGUUUGUACUCUUAUGUUAUGAUGACGAUGCUCCUACAAAUGUCUACAUGAAUGUAUAUGAAUGCAAUAAAUGAUGUGACGUAGUGUAUAAAUGAAUGUCCAAACACACGCAUACGAAGCCACACCCAGACUCUGCAUCCCCUUAGGAAUGUCUUUUGAGUCUUAAGCUCUGCAUCCCCUUAGGAACGUAUUUUGAGCUUCUUCACCUUCUAUUUUGGUGGUAUAAGUUCUGCAUCCCUUAGGAACGUCUUUUGAACUUCUUUGCCUUAUAUUUCGGCGGUAUUUGGCUCUGCAUUCCCUUAGGAACGACUUUUGAGCAGAAAACUUACGUUGCGCUCCAUUAGGAACGAAUUUUUGUAGCUUUGUCAUGCUCUACAUCCCCUUGGAGACGACCUUUGAGCUUCUCCCUACUUUUCCUCUUUUUUUCUGCACUCGAUGGUGCAUGCUCAGAUUUUACAUUUUACAUCCUUUUGGGGGAUUUGGCUCUUGUGGGGCUAAAUAAGGGAAGAAAAAUUACAAGCUAUGGCCCCGUUAAAAACCUUUCUCCCCCUUUGUAAAGGAAAAUGGUGCCAUAGAAAAAAAGAAAAAAAAUUACAUCCAAUUACACAUAAUAUCGCCGAAGCUCAUCCGCAUUCCAAGAUCUGGUUAUGUCGUUGCCGUCCAUAUCUUCAAUUUGUAAGAACCGGGCCUCGACGAAGAUACCACCAGAAAAGGUCCUUCCCACUUCAGCUACAAUUUGCCUACUGUGUCCGGAUUGGCCACUCUCCGAAGCACCAAAUGCCCUGGCUUAAUAUUUUUCAACCGAACUUUUCUGUCACGCCAUUUUAUUGUUUUGGCUUGAUAUUUAUUGAUGUUCUCCACAACCUAAAGUCUGGUCCCCUCUAUAGUAUCUUUUGUUACGUGAUAAUCAGCUUGGUCUUCUGUCAAAGCUACUGUUCUUAUUGACCCUGCUUUAGCUUCUUCAGGAGUUACAACUUCGUCACCGAACAAUAGUUUGAAAGAUGUGAAUUCUGUUGAUCUUGACAUAGUUGUAUUGUGGCUCCACACCACUUUAAUCAACUCAUCUGGCCACUUUCCUCUGGGCCGAUUGAAGAUUAACUUCAUUAUUCCUGUCAAAAUAAUGCCAUUUGGUCUUUCUACCAACCCGUUUGACACCGGAUGCCUAACUUAUGCAAAAUGGAUCUUCGUACCAAUGUGGUCACAUAAGUCUUUGAAUGUUUCAGCAUCAAACUGUGUUCCUGAAAGGGAAUUAGGCGUACACCUAUUUCCUAAAUGAUUUUGGUGGUUGAAUUGCCCAACACAAAUAAUUGGACUAACUAGUUUUGCUCUAGUGUAUAAGUUAUACAGGUGCCAAAGGUUCACACUUAGCCAAUAAAAAGACCAAGAAUUGGGUUCAACAAAAAGAGCAAGGGAUAACCGAAGUGUGCCCUGGUCUGGCGCACCGGACUGUCCGGUGUGCCACCGGACAGUGUCCGGUGCACCACCGGACAGUGUUCGGUGCACCAGGGGACUUCACGCUGAACUCCUCACCUUCGGGAAAAUUCAGAGCCGCUCCGCUAUAAUUCACCGGACUGUCCGGUGUACACCGGACUGUCCGGUGUACACCGGACAGUGUCCGAUGCUCCAAGGAAGAGCAACUCUGGAACUCGCCAGCUUCGGGAAUUCGCUCCGCUAUAAUUCACCGGACUGUCCGGUGAGCCAGCGGAGUAACGGCUACCUCGCGCCAACGGUCACCUGCAGAGGCAUUAAAUGCGCGCCAGAGCGCGCAGAAGUCAGGCACGCGUGAAGUGGCGCACCGGACACUCUACAGUGCAUGUCCGGUGUGCCACCGGACAUCCAGGCGGGCCCAGAAGUCAGAACUCCAACGGUCGGAACCCAACGGCCUGGUGACGUGCCUGGCACACCGGACACUGUCCGGUGUGCACCGGACUGUCCGGUGCACCAUGCGACAGACAGCCCCACCAAACGGCUAGUUUGGUGGUUGGGGUUAUUAAUACCCCCAACUACCCCACAUUCAUUUCAUCCAAGUUUUCCUACUUCAACCACUUACAAGAGCUCUAGCAUUCAAUUCUAGACACACCCAAGUGAUCAAAUCCUCUCCAAAUUCCACACAACGCCUUAGUGACUAGUGAGAGAGAUUUGCUUGUGUUCUUUCGAGCUCUUGCGCUUGGAUUGCUUUCUUCUUUGAUUCUUUCUUGUGAUCAACUCAAUUGUAACCAAGGCAAGAGGCACCAAUUGUGUGGUGGCCCUUGCGGGGAAGUUUUGUUCCCGUUUGAUUGAGAAGAAGAAGCUCACUCGGUCCGAGGGACCGUUUGAGAGAGGGAAAGGGUUGAAAGAGACCCGGUCUUUGUGACCACCUCAACGGGGAGUAGGUUUGCGAGAACCGAACCUCGGUAAAACAAAUCUAUGUGUCACACUCUUUAUUUGCUUGUGAUUUGUUUUGCACCCUCUCUCGCGGACUCGUUUAUAUUUCUAACACUAACCCGACUUGUAGUUGUGAUUAACUUUGUAAAUUUCAGUUUCGCCCUAUUCACCCCCCCUCUAGGCGACUUUCAAUUAGUAUCAGAACCCGGUGCUUCAUUAGAGCCUAACCGCUCGAAGUGAUGUCGGGAGAUCACGCCAAGAAGGAGAUGGAGACCGGCGAAAAGCCCACUACAAGCCACGGGAAGGCUUCAUCGGAAGAGUCCCGCAAGAAGGGAAAAGGGAAGGAGAAGAAAGCUUCUUCCCGCAAGUCGCAUCGGAGUGGCGUCAAGAUAAAGAAGAUGAGGAAGGUGGUCUACUACGAGACCGACACUUCAUCACCUUCCACCUCCAGCUCCGACGCGCCCUCCGUAACUUCUAAGCGCCAUGAGCGCAAGAAGUUUAGUAAGAUCCCCCUACGCUACCCUCGCAUUCCUAAACAUACACUUUUACUUUCCGUCCCGUUAGGCAAACCACCAACUUUUGAUGGUGAAGAUUAUGCUAGGUGGAGUGAUUUAAUACGAUUUCAUCUAACCUCACUCCUCAAAAGUAUAUGGGAUGUCGUUGAGUUUGGUGUACAGGUACCAUCCAUAGGGGAUGAAGAUUAUGAUAUUGAUGAAGUGGCCCAAAUCGAGCACUUCAACUCCCAAGCCACAACAAUAGUCCUCGCCUCUCUAAGUAGGGAGGAGUACAACAAGGUGCAAGGAUUGAAGAGCGCCAAGGAAGUUUGGGACGUGCUCAAAACCGCGCACGAGGGUGAUGAACUCACCAAGAUCACCAAGCGGGAAACGAUCGAGGGAGAGCUCGGUCGCUUCCGUCUUCGCCAAGGGGAGGAGCCACAAGAUAUGUACAACCGGCUCAACACCUUGGUGAACCAAGUGCGCAACCUCGGGAGCAAGAAAUGGGAUGACCACGAAGUGGUUAAGGUUAUUUUAAGAUCACUCAUUUUCCUUAACCCUACUCAAGUCCAAUUAAUUCGUGGCAAUCCUAGAUACACACUAAUGACUCCCGAGGAAGUAAUCGGGAAUUUUGUGAGCUUUGAAUUUAUGAUCAAGGGCUCACGAAAGAUCAACGAGCUUGACGGUCCUUCUACGUCCGAAGCUCAACCGGUCGCAUUCAAAGCGACGGAAGAGAAGAAGGAGGAGUCUACACCGAGUAGAACACCCAUCGACGCCUCCAAGCUCGACAACGAGGAAAUGGCGCUCGUCAUCAAAAGCUUUCGCCAAAUCCUCAAGCAAAGGAGGGGGAAAGAUUACAAGCCCCGCUCCAAGAAGGUUUGCUACAAGUGUGGUAAGCCCGGUCACUUUAUUGCAAAAUGUCCUAUGUCUAGUGACAGUGACAGGGGCGAUGACAAGAAGGGGAGAAGAAAGGAGAAGAAGAGGUACUACAAGAAGAAGGGCGGCGAUGCCCAUGUUUGUCGCGAGUGGGACUCCGACGAAAGCUCUAGCGACUCCUCCGACGACGAGGACGCCGCCAACAUCGCCGUCACCAAGUGCCUCAUGGCAAAGGACGGCAAAAAUAAGAAGGUUAAAUCUAAAUCCUCCACUAGAUAUGAGUCCUCUAGUGAUGAUAAUGCUAGUGAUGAGGAAGAUAAUUUGCGUACUCUUUUUCCCAACUUAAACAUGCAACAAAAGGAGAAAUUAAACGAAUUAAUUAGUGCCAUCCAUGAGAAGGAUGAUCUCUUGGACUCCCAAGAGGAUUUCCUAAUCAAGGAAAACAAAAAGCAUGUUAAAAUUAAAAAUGCUUAUGCUCUAGAAGUUGAAAAAUGUGAAAAAUUAUCUAGUGAGCUAAGCACUUGCCAUGAGACUAUAGACAACCUUAGAAAUGAGAAUGCUAAUUUGUUAGCUAAGGUUGAUUCCAUCACUUGUAAUGUUUCAAUUCCCAAUCUUAGAAAUAAUAAUGAUGAUUUGCUUGCUAAGAUUGAAGAAUUGAACAUUUCUCUUGCUAACCUUAGAGAUGAAAAUGAAAAAUUGCUUGCUAAGGCUAAAGAACUAGAUGUGUGCAAUGUUACAAUUUCGGACCUUAGAACUAAAAAUGAUAUAUUACAUGCUAAGGUUGUAUAAUUGAAAUCUUGCAAACCCUCUACAUCUACCGUUGAGCACACUUCUAUUUGUACUAGAUGUAGAAAUGUUGAUAUCAAUGCUAUACAUGAUCACAUGGCUUUAAUUAAACAACAACAUGAUCAUAUAGCAAAAUUAGAUGCUAAAAUUGCCGAGCAUGACUUAGAGAACGAAAAAUUUAAAUUUGCUAGAAGCAUGCUCUAUAGAGGGAGACGCCCUGGCAUUAAGGAUGGCAUUGGCUUCCAACAGGGAGGCAAUGUCAAACUUAAUGCCCCUCCUAAGAAAUUGUCUAAUUUUGUUAAAGGCAAGGCUCCCAUGCCUCAAGAUAACGAGGGUUACAUUUUGUACCCUGUCGGUUAUCCUGAGAGCAAAAUUAGGAGAAUUCAUUCUAGGAAGUCUCACUCUGGCUCUAACCAUGCAUUUAUGUAUAAGGGUGAGACAUCUAGUUCUAGGCAACCAACCCAUGCUAAGUUGCCUAAGAAGAGAACUCCUAGUGCAUCAAAUGAUCAUAGCAUUUCAUUUAAAACUUUUGAUGCAUCCUAUGUUUUAACUAACAAAUCCGGCAAGGUAGUUGCCAAGUAUGUUGGGGGCAAGCACAAGGGGUCAAAGACUUGUGUUUGGGUACCCAAAGUUCUUGUGUCUAAUGCUAAAGGACCCAAAACCAUUUGGGUACCUAAAGUCAAGAACUAAACAUGUUUUGUAGGUUUAUGCAUCCGGGGGCUCAAGUUGGAUAAUCGACAACGGGUGCACAAACCACAUGACAGGGGAGAAGAAAAUGUUCUCCUCUUACGAGAAAAACCAAGAUCCCCAACGAGCUAUCACAUUCGGGGAUGGAAAUCAAGGUUUGGUCAAAGGAUUGGGUAAAAUUGCUAUAUCUCCUGACCAUUCUAUUUCCAAUGUUUUUCUUGUAGAUUCUUUAGAUUACAAUUUGCUUUCUGUAUCUCAAUUAUGUCAAAUGGGCUACAACUGUCUAUUCACUGAUGUAGGUGUCACUGUCUUUAGAAGAAGUGAUGAUUCAAUAGCAUUUAAGGGAGUAUUAGAGGGUCAUCUAUACUUGGUAGAUUUUGAUAGAGCUGAACUCGACACUUGCUUAAUUGCUAAGACUAACAAGGGUUGGCUCUAGCACCGCCGACUAGCCCAUGUUGGGAUGAAGAAUCUUCAUAAACUUCUAAAGGGAGAGCACAUUUUAGGAUUAACAAAUGUUCAUUUUGAGAAAAACAGGAUUUGUAGCGCAUGCCAAGCAGGGAAGCAAGUUGGUGCCCAUCAUCCACACAAGAACAUCAUGACGACCGACAGGCCACUGGAGCUCCUACACAUGGAUCUAUUCGGCCCGAUUGCUUACAUAAGCAUCGGCGGGAGUAAGUACUGUCUAGUUAUUGUGGAUGAUUAUUCUCGCUUCACUUGGGUGUUCUUUUUGCAGGAAAAAUCUCACACCCAAGAAACCUUAAAGGGAUUCUUGAGACGGGCUCAAAAUGAGUUCGGCUUGAGGAUCAAGAAAAUUAGAAGCGACAACGGGACGGAGUUCAAGAACUCACAAAUCGAAGGCUUCCUUGAGGAGGAGGGCAUCAAGCAUGAGUUCUCUUCUCCCUACACCCCUCAACAAAAUGGUGUAGUGGAGAGGAAGAAUAGAACUCUAUUGGACAUGGCAAGAACCAUGCUUGAUGAGUACAAGACUUCGGAUCGGUUUUGGGCCGAGGCGGUCAACACCGCCUGGUACGCCAUCAACCGGUUGUAUCUACACCGAAUCCUCAAGAAGACAUCAUACGAACUCCUAACCGGUAAAAAGCCCAACAUUUCAUAUUUUAGAGUCUUUGGUAGCAAAUGCUUUAUUCUUGUGAAAAGAGGUAGAAAAUCUAAAUUUGCUCCUAAUACUGUAGAAGGCUUUUAACUAGGAUAUGAUUCAAACACAAGGGCAUAUAGAGUCUUUAACAAGUCCACUGGACAAGUUGAAGUUUCUUGUGAUGUUGUGUUUGAUGAGACUAACGGCUCUCAAGUAGAGCAAGUUGAUCUUGAUGAGAUAGGUGAUGAAGAGGCUCCAUGCAUCGCGCUAAGGAACAUGUCCAUUGGGGAUGUGUGUCCUAAGGAAUUCGAAGAGCCUCCAAAUGCACAAGAUCAACCAUCCUCCUCCACGCAAGCAUCUCCACCAACUCAAAAUGAGGAUGUGGCUCAAGUUGAUGAAGGAAAAGAUCAAGCAAAUGAGCCACCUCAAGAUGACGGCAAUGAUCAAGGGGGAGAUGCAAAUGAUCAAGACAAGGAGGAUAAAGAACCAAGACCGCCACACCCAAGAGUCCACCAAGCAAUCCAACGAGAUCACCCCGUCGACACCAUCCUUGGUGACAUUCAUAAGGGGGUAACCACUAGAUCUCGUGUUGCUCAUUUUUGUGAACAUUACUCUUUUGUUUCCUCUAUUGAGCCACACAGGGUAGAGGAAGCACUUCAAGAUUCGGAUUGGGUGGUGGCGAUGCAAGAGGAGCUCAACAACUUCACUAGGAAUGAGGUAUGGCAUUUAGUUCCACGUCCUAACCAAAAUGUUGUAGGAACCAAAUGGGUGUUCCGCAACAAACAAGAUGAGCAUGGUGUGGUGACAAGGAACAAAGCCCGACUUGUGGCCAAGGGAUACUCCCAAGUCGAAGGUUUGGAUUUCGGUGAAACCUAUGCACCCGUAGCUAGGCUUGAGUCAAUUCGUAUAUUAUUGGCCUAUGCUACUUACUAUGGCUUUAAGCUUUAUCAAAUGGACGUGAAAAGUGCCUUCCUCAAUGGACCAAUCAAGGAAGAGAUCUAUGUUGAGCAACCUCCCGGCUUUGAAGAUAGUGAGUACCCUAACCAUGUUUAUAAACUCUCUAAGGCGCUUUAUGGGCUCAAGCAAGCCCCAAGAGCAUGGUAUGAAUGCCUUAGAGAUUUCCUUAUCACUAAUGGAUUCAAAGUCGGAAAAGCAGAUCCUACACUCUUUACCAAAACACUUGAAAAUGAUUUGUUUGUAUGCCAAAUUUAUGUUGAUGAUAUUAUAUUUGGGUCUACUAACGAGUCUACUUGUGAAGAAUUUAGUAGGAUCAUGACACAAAAAUUCGAGAUGUCUAUGAUGGGGGAGUUGAAGUACUUCUUAGGAUUCCAAGUGAAGCAACUCCAAGAAGGCACCUUCCUAAGCCAAACGAAGUAUACUCAAGACAUUCUAAGCAAGUUUGGGAUGAAGGAUGCCAAACCCAUCAAGACACCUAUGGGAACCAAUGGGCAUCUCGACCUCGACGAAGGAGGUAAAUCCGUUGAUCAAAAGGUAAUACCGGUCGAUGAUAGGAUCUUUACUCUUUUUAUGUGCAUCUCGACCGGAUAUUAUGCUUUCCGUAUGCAUGUGUGCAAGAUUCCAAGCCGACCCUAAGGAAGCUCACCUUACGGCCGUAAAACGAAUCUUGAGAUAUUUAGUUUAUACUCCUAAGUUUGGGCUUUGGUAUCCUAGGGGAUCCACAUUUGAUUUGAUUGGGUAUUCGGAUGCCGAUUGGGCAGGGUGUAAAAUUAAUAGGAAGAGCACAUCGGGGACUUGCCAGUUCUUGGGAAGAUCCUUGGUGUCUUGGGCUUCAAAGAAGCAAAAUUCCGUAGCUCUUUCUACCGCCGAAGCCGAGUACAUUGCCGCAGGCCAUUGUUGCGCGCAACUACUUUGGAUGAGGCAAACCCUUAGGGACUACGGUUACAAACUAACCAAAGUUCCUCUUCUAUGUGAUAAUGAGAGUGCAAUCCGCAUGGCGGAUAAUCCCGUUGAGCAUAGCCGCACUAAACACAUAGCCAUUCGGUAUCACUUUUUAAGGGAUCACCAACAAAAGGGAGAUAUCGAGAUUUCAUACAUUAAUACUAAAGAUCAAUUAGCCGAUAUCUUUACCAAGCCACUCGAUGAACAAACUUUUAACAAACUUAGGCAUGAGCUAAAUAUUCUUGAUUCUAGGAACUUCUUUUGUUGAUUUGCACACAUAGCUCAUUAAUAUACCUUUGAUCAUGUCUCUUUUAUAUAUGCUAUGACUAAUGUGUUUUCAAGUCUAUUUCAAACCAAGUCAUAGGUGUAUUGAAAGGGAAUUGGAGUCUUCGGCGAAGACAAAAGGCUUCCACUCCGUAACUCAUCCUUCGCCGUCGCUCCGAGCCACUCUCCAUCUUUGGGGGAGAGAAAGGACUCCGUCUUUGGUAUAAUCUUCACUCAUUUAUUUAUGACCAAAGGGGGAGAAAGUAAUUGUAAGGGCUCUAAUGACUCCGUUUUUGGCCAUUCAUGCCAAAGGGGGAGAAAGUAUUAGCUCAAAGCAAAAGGACCGCACCACCACCUAAAUUUUAAAAUGAUUUUCAAUUGGAAAUUUCAAAAUUGGUAUGCUAUUAUGUUCAAAAAGGGGGAGAGAAUAGUAUAUUCAAAAUCAAUAUCCUAAAACCCUCUUGAACACUAAGAGGAGGAUUUCAUUUAGGGGGAGUUUUGUUUAGUCAAAGGAAAAGCAUUUGAAACAGGGGGAGAAAAUUUCAAAUCUUGAAAAUACUUUGCAAAAUCUUAUUCAUUUACCUUUGACUAUUUGCGAAAGAUCUUUGAAAAGGAUUUACAAAACAAUUUGCAAAAACAAAACAUGUGGUGCAAGCGUGGUCCAAAAUGUUAGAAAUGAAGAAACAAUCCAUGCAUAUAUUAUAAGUAUUUAUAUUGGCUCAAUUCCAAGCAACCUUUGCACUUACAAUUAUGCGAACUAGUUCAAUUAUGCACUUCUAUAUUUGCUUUGGUUUGUGUUGGCAUCAAUCACCAAAAAGGGAGAGAUUGAAAGGGAAUUAGGCGUACACCUAUUUCCUAAAUGAUUUUGGUGGUUGAAUUGCCCAACACAAACAAUUGGACUAACUAGUUUUGCUCUAGUGUAUAAGUUAUACAGGUGCCAAAGGUUCACACUUAGCCAAUAAAAAGACCAAGAAUUGGGUUCAACAAAAAGAGCAAGGGAUAACUGAAGUGUGCCCUGGUCUGGCGCACCGGACAGUGUCCGGUGCACCAGGGGACUUCACGCUGAACUCCUCACCUUCGGGAAAAUCCAGAGCCGCUCCGCUAUAAUUCACCGGACUGUCCUGUGUACACCGGACAGUGUCCGGUGCUCCAAGGAAGAGCAACUCUGGAACUCGCCAGCUUCGGGAAUUCGCUCCGCUAUAAUUCACCGGACAUGUCUGGUGUGCACCGGACUGUCCGGUGAGCCAGCGGAGUAACGGCUACCUCGCGCCAACGGUCACCUGCAGAGGCAUUAAAUGCGCGCCAGAGGGCGCAGAAGUCAGGCACGCGCGAAGUGGCGCACCAGACACUCUACAGUGCAUGUCCGGUGUGCCACCGGACAUCCAGGCGGGCCCAGAAGUCAGAACUCCAAAGGUCGGAACCCAACGGCCUGGUGACGUGGCUGGCGCACCGGACACUGUUCGGUGUGCACCGGACUAUCCGGUGCACCAUGCGACAGACAGCCCCACCAAACGACUAGUUUGGUGGUUGGGGUUAUAAAUACCCCCAACCACCCCACAUUCAUUUCAUCCAAGUUUUCCUACUUCAACCACUUACAAGAGCUCUAGCAUUCAAUUCUAGACACACCCAAGUGAUCAAAUCCUCUCCAAAUUCCACACAACGCCUUAGUGACUAGUGAGAGAGAUUUGCUUGUGUUCUUUCGAGCUCUUGCGCUUGGAUUGCUUUCUUCUUUGAUUCUUUCUUGCGAUCAACUCAAUUGUAACCAAGGCAAGAGGCACCAAUUGUGUGGUGGCCCUUGCGGGGAAGUUUUGUUCCCGUUUGAUUGAGAAGAAGAAGCUCACUCGGUCCGAGGGACCGUUUGAGAGAGGGAAAGGGUUGAAAGAGACCCGGUCUUUGUGACCACCUCAAUGGGGAGUAGGUUUGCGAGAACCGAACCUCGGUAAAACAAAUCCGCGUGUCACACUCUUUAUUUGCUUGCGAUUUGUUUUGCACCCUCUCUCGCGGACUCGUUUAUAUUUAUAACGCUAACCCGGCUUGUAGUUGUGAUUAACUUUGUAAAUUUCAGUUUCGCCCUAUUCACCCCCCUCUAGGCGACUUUCAGUUCCAUUGUCUAUAGUUAUAGCCUUAGGCACGUCGAAGCGACAAACAAUAUUCUGCCAGAAGAAUUUUUGGAUUGUGGCCGAAGUUAUUGUAGCCAAAGGCUUUUCUUCAAUCCACUUGGAAAAAUAUUCUACAGCCACCACAACAUACUUCAAAUUACCUUGUGCCGGUGGAAGUGGACCUAAUAAAUCUAGGCCCCAUCUUUGUAAUGGCUAAGUAGGCUGUAUUAGCUGGGUGAGAGAUGAAGGUUGUUUCUGGUCUCUUGCACAUUUUUGACAAUUUUCACAUUUUUGAACUAGCUCUGGUGCAUCCGAAGCUGCCUUCGGCCAGUAAAAUCUUUGUCUAAGCACUUUUCCCAGCAAGGGCAUAGACCCAAUAUGAGAUCCACAUAGACUUGCAUGUAUCUCCUUCAUUAAUUCAAUACCUUCAGCUCUGGAUAAACACUUGAGGAGUGGAGAACAGACUCGAUGUUUAUAUAAUUCCCCUUCUAUUAUCACAUACGGUCUUGUCCUUGCUUCCAUUCUCUGAUUAUAAGCUUCGUCAUCCGAAAGACAAUUACCUUGGAGGAAAUAUAUAAUUUUAGUCCUCCAAUCUUCAUUAUGUACUGGGGAAAUUGCAAGCACUGCUCUCUCCAUAAGUUCAACCGAAGGUGCUCUUAUUGUUUCAAAAAAUACUUCCGAAGGUAGGGGGAGCCCCUGUGCCACUAAUUUGGCUAGUAGAUCUGCAUGCUCAUUUUCUCCUCUUGGAAUAUUCUUGACAGAAAAACCUUCAAAAGAAGCCUCCAACCUUCGAAUUGUAUCCAGAUAUUUUUCAAGCUUCGGGUCUCUUGCCUUGCUACUUUUGUCUAUAUGGUCAGAAAUGACUUGAGAAUCAGUUUUUAGGAUGGCCCUUUUUAUUCCCAUUGCCCUUAACUUUCGAAGCCCCAACAAAAGUGCUUCAUAUUCAGCAAUAUUAUUUGUACAACUAAAGUCAAGCUUUGCUGCAUAACAUGUUCUGACUUUUGAAGGCGCAACUAGGACAGCAGCCGCUCCUGCACCGAAGGUUCCCCAGGAACCAUCGCAGAACACUAUGCAAGCUUUGGCGUCUUUAUUUGUUUCUUCUUCCUGAGUCCCUGGCGUCCAAUCAGCGAUGAAGGCUGCUAACGCCUGGGACUGAAUUGAGGAUCUAUGUACAUAGUCGAUACUAAAUUCAUUAAGCUCCGCAGCCCAUUUUCCAAUCCCUCCCGUAGCUUCUCUGUUCCUCAUUAUGUCCUUCAGAGAUUGUGACGAAGGAACAAUUAUGUGAUAUGCUUGGAAAUAAUGCUGAAGCUUCCUGGAGGCCAUCAACACAGCAUACAACACCUUCUCCAAUUCUGUAUAAUUUUUCUUUGAUAAACUUAAAGCUUCGGAGACGAAGUACACUGGAGCCUGCUUUUUGACUUGGCUAUCCAGUUUCUCCUGUACAAGCGCCACACUAACUGCAGAGUGCGACGCUGCCACAUAUAAAAGCAAUGGAGCCCCUGGUGAAGGUGGAGUUAGUGUUGUUAAAUCAAUGAAAUAUUGCUUCAACUCUUCGAAUGCUUUUUGCUGAGACGGGCCCCACUAAAAAACUUCACCUGACUUCAAUAUUUCAAAAAAUGGUAGAUUUCUUUCUACUGAUCUGGAUAUGAAUCUGUUCAAUGAUGCUAGUCUUCCUGCCAGCUAUUGGGCCCCAUUCUCUGUGCUUGGUGGCUCCAUCCGAAGGAUAGCUUUGAUCUUGCUCGGGUUGGCUUCAAUUCCUUUCGUUGAUACUAAACAGCUAAGGAACUUGCCCUUCUUCACCCCAAAAACACACUUUUCUAGAUUUAACUUCAGGCCAGCUUGCCUGAAAUUAGCAAAUGUGUCUUGCAAAUCAACAAUGUGAUUUUCUUGCUUCGUGCUUUUCACUAUGAUAUCAUCAACAUAGGUCAGUACAUUCCUGCCUAUUUGAGAAUGAAGGACCUUAGCUGUCAUUCUGCUGAAGCUUCCUCCAGCAUUUUUAAGCCCCUCAGGCAUCCGAAGAUAACAAUAGGUACCACUAGGGGUUAUGAAGCUAGUCUUCGACUCGUCUUCCUUUUUCAUCCAAAUUUGAUGGUAACCUGAGUAACAAUCCAACAGACUCAUGAGCUCUGAAGAAGCUGCUGCAUCUACUAGAGAGUCUAUCCUUGGCAAUGGGAACUCGUCCUUUGGACAAGCCUUGUUGAGAUCUGUGAAAUCAAUGCACAUUCUCCAUUUACCAUUGGCCUUCACCAUAACAGUGUUGGCUAGCCAUUUUGGGUAUUCCGCUUCUCUGAUGACACCAGCACUAAGAAGUCUCUUCACUUCGUUCCGAGCACCUUCAGCUUUGUCUUCAGACAUCUUUCGAAGCCUUUGUUUUCUUGGCCUGAAAGAUGGAUCCACAUUGAGUGAACGUUCGAUAACAUCUCUGUUGACACCGUAGAGAUCAUUGGCUGACCAAGCAAAAACAUCUUUGUUGUUGAAUAGAAAUCUUAGCAAAGUCAUCUCUUGCUCUUCAGAUAGCUGGGACCCUAGCAGUACCCUUUGUUCUGCUAUGUCUUCACAUAGAAGCAUAGGCUUCGGCUGAUCCGCCGAAGCAGCCUUCUCUCUUUUGUAUUUAUACUAUUGAAAUGCUUUGGCUCCAUCUAUGUUAUGAAUUGCCUUUGAAUCUGUCCAGUUUCCUUUGGCCCUUCUGGCAGCUUCUUGACUCCCAUGGACAACAAUGGGCCCUUGUUCCGAAGGUAUCUUCAUGCAUAAAUAUGUUGGAUGAAGUAUUGCUUCGAAGGCAUUAAGUGUCCCUCGACCAAUGAUUGCAUUAUAGGGGUACUCCAUGUCAACAAUGUCAAAGACAACCUAUUCAGUCCUUGUGUUGUGGACGAAGCCGAAGGUCACUAGCAUUGUGAUUUUACCGAGUGCUACAAUCUGCCUUCCUCCGAAGCCACAAAGAGGGUGUAUAGCAUCAUGAAUCUUGUCUUCUGGCUCUUGCAUCUGUCUAAAGGCCUUAGCAAAUAUGAUGUCCGCUGCACUUCCUAUAUAAACCAGAACAUUAUGGACCAGAAAUCCCUUGAUGACACAAUAUAUGUGUCGGCGUUUCGAGACCGGGGGGUCCCUAAGCCGACGAGUGAAUGUGCCGCGUGCCCCAGCCCAGAUGGGUCGAGCGCGUGGGCGAGCGCGAAGGGGGAAGUGAGGUGGCCGGAGACAGGCGUGAGAGAGGUGGAAAUCCCGCGGCCUUCGUGUUCGUCCCGCGCCCAGGUCGGGUGCGCUUGCAGUAGGGGGUUACAAGCGUCCACGCGGGUGAGGGAAGCGAGCGGCCCCAAGAGAGCGCCUGCCCUGUCCUCGUCCCCGCGCGGCCAACCCUCUCUAAGAGGCCCCUGGUCCUUCCUUUUAUAGGCGUAAGGAGAGGAGCCAGGUGUACAAUGGGGGUGUAGCAGAGUGCUACGUGUCUAGCGGGGGAGAGCUAGUGCCCUAAGUACAUGCCGAUGUGGCAGCCGGAGAGAUCUUGGCACCCAGCUGGUGUGAUGUCGUGGCCGUCGGAGGAGCAACGGAGCCUGGCGGAGGGACAGCUGUCGGAGCGGUUGAGUCCUUGCUGACGUCCUCCUGCUUCCGUAAGAGAGCUGAGAGCCGCCAUCGUCACAGAGCUUGCGGGGCGCCAUCAUUGCCUAUCUGGCGGAGCUAGCCAGAUGGGACACCGGUCUUGUUCUCUGCGGCCCGAGUCGGCUCGGGGUAGGGUGAUGAUGGCGCUUCCUGUUGACGUGGCUGGCCUGCGCCCUAGGUUGGGCGUCGUGGAGGCUCCUCCGAAGCCGAGGUUGAGUCUGUCUUCCGUGGCCGAGGCCAAGUCCGAGCCCCUGGGUUGGGCGAGGCGGAGGUCGUUCGGCAGAGGCCAGGGCGGAGUCCGAGCCCUGGGGUCGGGCGAAGCGGAGUUCGUCGUCUUCUGGGGCUGAGCCCGAGUCCGAGCCCUGGGGUCGGGCGGAGCGGAGUUCGCCGUCUUCCGGGGCUUAGCCCGAGUCUGAGCCCUGGGGUCGGGCGGAGCGGAGUUCGCCGUCUUCCGGGACUUAGCCCGAGUCCGAGCCCUGGGGUCGGGCGAAGCGGAGUUCGCCGUCUUCCGGGACUUAGCCCGAGUCCGAGCCCUGGGUCGGGCGGAGCGGAGUUCGCCGUCUUCCGGGACUUAGCCCGAGUCCGAGCCCUGGGUCGGGCGGAGCGGAGUUCGCCGUCUUCCGGGACUUAGCCCGAGUUCGAGCCCUGGGUCGGGCGGAGCGGAGCUUCCUGUGGCGCCUUUGGCAGGGCCUGACUGCCUGUUAGUCUCACUCUGUCAAGGGGCACUGCAGUCGGAGUGGCGCAGGCGGCGCUGUCCUUCUGUCAGGCCGGUCAGUGGAGCGGCGAAGUGACGGCGGUCACUUCAGCUCUGCCGGGGAGCGCGCGUCAGGAUAAAGGUGUCAGGCCACCUUUGCGUUAAAUGCUCCUGCGAUUCGGUCGGUCGGUGCGGCGAUUUAGUCAGGGUUGCUUCUUAGCGAAGGCAGGGCCUCGAGCGAGCCGAAGAUGUGUCCGCCGUUGGAGGGGGGCCUCGGGCGAGACGGAAAUCCUCCGGGGUCGGCUGCCCUUGUCCGAGGCUAGGCUCGGGCGAGGCAUGAUCGAGUCGCUCGAAAGGACUGAUCCCUGACUUAAUCGCACCCAUCAGGCCUUUGCAGCUUUAUGCUGAUGGGGGUUACCAGCUGAGAAUUAGGCGUCUUGAGGGUACCCCUAAUUAUGGUCCCCGACAGUAGCCCCCGAGCCUCGAAGGGAGUGUUAGCACUCGCUUGGAGGCUUUCGUCGCACUUUUUUGCAAGGGGACCAGCCUUUCUCGGUUGCAUUUUGUUCCGGCGGGUGCGCGCGAGCGCACCCGCCGGGUGUAGCCCCCGAGGCCUCGGAGGAGUGGUUUCACUCCUUCGAGGUCUUAAUGCCUUGCGUAAUGCUUCGGCUGGUCUGGUUGUUCCCUCAUGCGAACUGGCCGUAGCCCGGGUGCACGGUCGGGGCCCAAGUUCUCGGGCUGGUAUGUUGACGCUGUCAACGGUUCGGCCGGAGCCGGGUUUGCGAGAGCAGCCCCCGAGCCUCCGCACAGGGCGAGAGGACGAUCAGGGACAGACUCGGCUUUUUUACAUACGCCCCUGCGUCGCCUUUCCGCAAGGAGGAGGGGGGGAAAGCGCCAUGUUACCCUCGAUGGGCACCGAACAUGGUGUCUCCGGUGAGCUGCAAGCGGGUAAUCCGAGUGGACGUCCGUGCCCCGUUCGUUAGGGGUCGGCUAGGGGCCCAGAGGCACACCCAAAAGUACCUGCGGGUGAUCUGCCAGACCCGGUCCCCUAGCAACGGGGUCCGAGGGCUCGAUGCCUCCCUCCGAUGGGAUUCCGUUACAAGAUCGCUCCCGCUGGUCUCGGAAAUGUCCUAGGGUACCUCGGGAGCGCAGCCUGAGCCUUGGUUAUGUAUCGAACGUACCCCUGGUCAUCCCUCGCUCGGCGUUUGAGGCGGCUGUGAACCCUUCGGGGGCCAGCCUUCGAACCCCUGAUCAGUAAUGGGCGCGGAGCCCGAGUAGCCUGAGGCGGCCGUGGAACCCUUCGGGGGGCCGGCCUUCGAACCUCUGACCAUUAGUGGAUGUAGGGCCCACGCGAUCUGAGGCGGCUGUUGAACCCCUCGGGGGGCCAGCCUUCGAACCUCUGAUCAGUAGGGGGGCUCGGAGCCCGGUUCCUUCACGGGGAAGGAUCCUUUUCGGGGUAUCCCCCUUUCCCGGUCCCUGUUGCAAGAGAUAGAGAAAGAGGAAAAAGGAAAAGGAUACGAAAUCGAACGACGUGGCGUACCUUUUUUGGCGCGGUUAUUACGGCGAAGGCGAAGCGUCGCCCGCUUCUCCUGCCAGAAGCGCCGCCUGUCCCGUCGCGGAGUUAAUGCGACGGGGCGAGUGGUUGGCGGGGCGGUCGUCGCGCGUGCGCGAGCCGUUCGAGGAACGGAUCACGGGCGCGUCGUCUUCACGCCGUGAGAGGGGGUUCUCUCACUGCCCCUGGAUGGGACGUGAGCUUGGCUGACGACGUGACCGCUGCUCCCGCCCGCCUGCCACCGUCAUUACUGCCGGCCCACUUUCGGCCGCAUUGACCGUCGCGCCAGGCUGGCAUUGCUGGGUCGUGCGCUGGGUCGCCUCGAGUCGCGGUAUUGGUUCCACAAUCGAAGAGGCGCGGUGGUGGCGCAAGUGGCGGUGCAGUUGCUUGCAUGCAGCAUCCGGCGCGCCGGUUGCGUGACGCGUGGGCCUGGGCCUCCACGCCGGGCGCGUUGGGAGUCGGAGAAGCGCGCCCACUUGGCGCGGUUGCAUGUCGCCUGCAUGGCUGCCCGCCUCUCUCGCCCGUUGGUCUGGGCAAAAGUGGAGGGUCACUUGUAACCGCUGGGCGGUUGAGUGCACCACGCGCGGCGGUUUGGCUUCUUCUGCUCCGAGUCGGUUUGCAUGACAUGCGGGACCCAGCCCCCGCGUCGCAAGGGAGGGCCUUGGAGCGUGUUGGAGAAGACUCAGCCCGUGACGGUUGGGGGCGCAAGUAGGGAGAGUUGCCUUUAAAAGGAGGGCGACCCCUUUCGGAAGGCGACCAUGUCUUCUCGCUCCCUUAUGCAUCGCGUCUCUCCACCUUCCAAGCCCCCAGAUGGGGGAUACCCGCCGUCUUUUCGCCUCAUCGUUGGAGGAACGCAACUCCGUGGGAGUUGGUACCUUUCAGCCAUCGUUCGGCUUCAAGGAUUUUCAUCAGCCAGCCCGGCUGUACCCCCCCACCGGCGGUCACCCAAGACGGUGACCACUAGCUCCUGGGUGGGGAGAAGCAAGCCGGGCUGCGAUCUUGGUCCCACCCUCAGCUUCAAGGAUGUUCAUCAUCCUCGCUGGGGUGGGGGCCGGGAUGAGCCGGCGCUCUACCUCCCGCGCGGGUUCGUGGGUCACCCUCUCCCGCGGCGUUCAAGGGAGAGGGCGCUCACUGGCCCUGCGGGCGGUCCGGACUUCGACAACGCGGGGUUGGUCGACGGCGGGCGUCAUCACCUCCAGCGUGUCGGGCUCGUCGGCUUGGCUCCCGGCGGCCCCUCCUGCUGGAGGGCGGCUGCCGCGCCGUGUGCACGGGAGGACCACCCAAGAUGUCGCGCGCUGCUAGGGCGGCGUUCGUGUUCUGGGGUGGUCCUGCCUUUGCACCGGGAUGGCGCCCUCGCGCGGAGGCCGGUGCCCCACUCGUCCGGGAGGAUUUGAGUGGGGAUCUGCCGGGGGGCUGAUGGCCCCUUCCAUCGGUGCCGAGGCGGAGGCGGCUCGAGAAGUCCCCGUCACCGACGGGAUCACCACCACCAUCCGCGCUUCGGGCCUCCGGUUCUUCGUACUUGUCCUCGCCCCUCGAGCGUCGGUGUGGGCGAGGGCAAGAUUGCAGCAGCACCCACCCUGAGGCCUGCGCUACUGCAGCUCGGCCAUCCGGAGCGGGGGUCGUUGUCGUCGGAGUCAGAGCGGGCGGCGGCGAGCCGCUCGUCAGUCUUCUGUUGCUCCUCAGGCCCACCCCUAUCGAGUGGGGUUGUUCGUACCUGUGGAGGGGGAACCGGAGUUCCGUUUGUAAUGGCACUUUGAAUGCCAGUGUUUUUUGUUCAUUAUGGCUGUCGAGGCCUGAACAUGUAUGUAAUUUUGGCACGGAGUCGUGUUUUUUCCUCAUUUUCGAGCACUAAGUCUCGCCUGUUGAUUAUCUGAACCGCUUCACCAAGCAUGAGUCGCCCCGUGUCAAGGUGACGAGUGAGGUAUCCGUAUCCCGGAGGCGUAGGAGUCCCUCGGCUCGAUCGACCUUGUUGUCUGAGGCUCCUCUAGCUUAGUUAAAGAGACCCCUUGGCCGCUCUUCGACGAGCCAAGGCCAGGGGUAGCGAUAUCAGCAUGAACAGAGGCGGAGUUGGCUCGAAAACGAAACCUGGUUGGCCGGAGCCUAGCCGGGUUGUCCGUCAGCGGGACCGACGCCGGAGUUGAUCAGCCGAGGCCUCGGGUCGGGCUGGCGCCCUUGGAAGAUGGUCGGCCGAGGCCCCAGGGGUGACCGGCCGAGCCGCCUGCUCGGGCCGGAUUCCCGGAGAAGUCCCUGGACCGCGUCGCCGUCCGAGGCUGGGUCGGACCUCGCUGGAGGUGUCGUCGAUGCCGAGGGUGCUACAGCCCCCUUCCAGCGUGAAGACCCGAGCCUGCAGGAUCAGAGUGUCUUGUAGCGUGUGCCUUCUGCGGCCGCCGAGGCCAGAAUACACACCCUCGCUGUGUUGUAAAGCUGCGUCUCCUUUCCUCUCGUUUCGAGUAUCUAGACUCUUUCGUCGGUAACAGGGAUGUUUGUGCGAGCGAGAGUUGCUUCUCGCGGAAGGUGAUGAGUGAGGUAUCCGUAUCCCGGAGGCGUGGGAGUCCCUCAGCUCGGUCGGCCUUGCCGCUUACGCGCACUUUCACCCGUCCAUGAGGCCCUGUCACCGACUCAGUCGAGAAGGCUCGAAGGAUCGCUUUGGCAGAAGAGCUUCCGAACGUGAAGACUUGUUCGGUCCACGGAAUCGCUUCAUCCGAACGUGAGUUACUUAUCGCAGAAGGUGAUGAGUGAGGUAUCCGUAUCCCGGAGGCGUAGGAGUCCCUCGGCUCGGUUAGCCUUGGCUGCUUACGUGUACUCCGUCGUUUUCAGGAUCCACUUUUCGAAGUAGUCAAAAAGCACGAAAGAUAUUCUAGCAAAAGAGAUCUUUUUUCGAGGAAAAUUUCAACGCAGAGGGGGUUCCCCCCUUUUAGCCCCCGAGGGAGGGUCGGGCUUUGCCGAGGCGAGGCCGACCCUUCCUUGAUGACUAAACUUUGCGUGGGUGCGAGGUAUAUGAACAACUUGAAAAUAUCUUAAGGGUAGAAGCGACGUAGCUGUUGGAUAUUCCAAGCGUUGCCGUAGACCUCGCCUUGACUGUUGGCCAGCUUGUACGUUCCGGGCUUCAGAACUUUGGAGAUGAUGAAUGGCCCCUCCCAGGGGGGCGUGAGCUUGUGCCUCCCUCGGGCGUCUUGCCGCAGCCGAAGCACCAGGUCGCCCACCUGGAGGUCUCGGGGCCGGACCCUCGGGCAUGGUAGCGUCGCAGGGACUGCUGGUACCGCGCCGAGUGUAGUAAGGCCUUGUCCCGAGCCUCUUCCAGCUGGUCCAGCGAGUCUUCUCGGCUAGCUUGGUUGCUUUGAUCGUUGUAGGACCUCGUCCUCGGGGAGCCGUAUUCCAGGUCAGUGGGCAAGACGGCCUCGGCCCCGUAGACCAGGAAGAACGGCGUGAAACCUGUGGCUCGGCUCGGCGUUGUCCUCAGGCUCCAGACCACCGAGGGGAGUUCCUUCAUCCAUCGCUUGCCGAACUUGUUGAGGUCGUUGUAAAUCCGAGGCUUGAGCCCCUGUAGAAUCAUGCCGUUGGCACGCUCUACUUGCCCAUUCGACAUGGGAUGAGCCACGACGGCCCAGUCCACCCGGAUGUGGUGAUCCUCGCAAAAAUCCAAGAAUUUUCUGCCGGUGAACUGGGUACCGUUGUCGGUGAUGAUGGAGUUCGGGACCCCGAAGCGAUGGAUGAUGUUGGUGAAGAAUGCCACCGCCUGCUCGGACCUGAUGCUGAUCAGAGGUCGGACCUCGACCCACUUGGAGAAUUUGUCGAUGGCGACCAGCAGGUGCGUGUAGCCCCCGGGUGCCUUCUGCAAGGGGCCGACGAGGUCCAGACCCCACACGGCAAAGGGCCAGGUGAUGGGUAUCGUCUGUAGAGCCUGAGCGGGCAGAUGGGUCUGCUUCGCAUAGAAUUGACACCCUUCGCAGGUGCGGACAAUUCUAGUGGCGUCAGCCACCGCCGUUGGCCAGUAGAAGCCUUGCCGGAAAGCAUUCCCGACAAGGGCUCGAGGUGCUGCGUGAUGGCCGCAAGCCCCCGAGUGUAUCUCUUUCAGGAGUUCCUGACCUUCGGCGACGGAGAUGCAUCGCUGGAGGAUGCCCGAGGGGCUGCGGUGGUAGAGCUCCUUCUCAUCGCCCAGCAAGACGAACGACUUGGCGCGUCGCGCUACCCGCCGAGCCUCGGCUCGGUCGAGGGGUAGCUCUCCUUGGCGGAGAUAUUGCAGGUACGGGGUCUGCCAAUUUCGAUCAGGCGUGGCCCCGCUCCGCUCCUCCUCGACGUGCAGUGCCUCGCCCUCGGAGGCCGAGGGUACCUCGGGCUGAACUGAGGGCGCCUCGGGCCGAGCUGAGGGUGCCUCGGGCUGUGCCGAGGGUACCUCAGGCUGGACCGAGGGCGCCUCAGGCUCGGGCGAGUCGUCGAUCUUGACGGAGGGUUGAUGCAGAUCCCGGGAGAAGACGUCCGGGGGAACCGCUGUUCGCCCCGAGGCUAUUUUUGCCAGCUUGUCCGCCGUCUCGUUGUAACGCCGAGCGAUGUGGUUAAGCUCGAGCCCGUAGAACUUGUCUUCCAGGCGCCGAACCUCAUCGCAGUAGGCCUCCAUCUUCGGGUCGUGGCAGUGGGAGUUCUUCAUGACUUGGUCGAUGACGAGCUGCGAGUCGCCGCGGACGUCGAGGCGCCUAACCCCUAGCUCGAUGGCGAUCCACAACCCGUUGACCAGAGCCUCGUACUCAGCCACAUUGUUGGACGCCGGGAAAUGGAGGCGUAGCACAUAGCGUAGGUGUUUCCCGAGGGGCGAGAUGAAGAGUAGACCCGCGCCUGCUCCCGUCUUCAUCAGCGACCCGUCGAAAAACAUGGUCCAGAGCUCCGGUUGGAUCGGAGCCGUCGGUAGCUGGGUGUCGACCCAUUCGGCUACGAAGUCCGCCAAUACCUGGGACUUGAUGGCCUUCCGAGGGGCGAACGAGAUUGUCUCGCCCAUGAUUUCCACCGCCCACUUUGCAACCCUGCCCGAGGCCUCUCGGCACUGGAUGAUCUCCCCCAGGGGGAAAGACGACACCACAGUUACCGGAUGAGACUCGAAGUAGUGUCGCAACUUCCGCCUCGUCAGGAUCACUGCAUACAGCAGCUUCUGGACUUAUGGGUAGCGGAUCUUGGUCUCGGACAGUACCUCGCUGACGAAGUAAACUGGCCUCUGAACGGGCAAUGCAUGCCCCUCUUCUUGCCUUUCGACCACAAUCGCGGCGCUAACCACCUGAGUGGUCGCGGCGACGUAGACCAAGAGGGCUUCUCCAUCAGCUGGAGGCACCAAGAUAGGCGCCUUUGUGAGGAGCGCCUUCAGGUUCCCGAGAGCUUCCUCGGCCUCAGGGGUCCAAGCGAAGCACUCGGUCUUCCUUAAGAGGCGGUACAGGGGCAGACCUCUUUCGCCGAGGCGCGAGAUGAAGCGGCUCAGGGCCGCGAGACAUCCCAUGACCCUCUGUACGCCUUUUAAGUCCUUGAUGGGCCCCAUGCUGGUGAUGGCUGCGAUCUUCUCCGGGUUGGCUUCGAUGCCCCGCUCGGAGACGAUGAACCCCAAGAGCAUGCCCCGGGGCACCCCGAAGACACACUUCUCGGGAUUGAGCUUGACGCCUUUCGCUUUGAGACAUCGGAAUGUCACUUCAAGGUCGGAGAGGAGGUCGGAAGCCUUCCUCGUCUUGACUACGAUGUCAUCGACGUAGGCCUCGACCGUGCGACCGAUGUGUUCGCCGAACACAUGGUUCAUGCACCGCUGGUACGUCGCGCCCGCAUUCCUCAAACCGAACGGCAUGGUGACAUAGCAGUACAUGCCGAAGGGCGUGAUGAAAGAAGUCGCGAGCUGGUCGGACUCUUUCAUCCUGAUUUGGUGAUACCCUGAGUAGGCGUCGAGGAAAGACAGGGUUUCGCACCCAGCAGUGGAAUCCACGAUUUGAUCGAUGCGAGGCAGAGGGUAGGGAACCUUCGGACAUGCUUUGUUGAGACCAGUGUAGUCUACACACAUCCGCCAUUUACCCCCUUUCUUUCUCACAAGCACAGGGUUGGCAAGCCAUUCGGGAUGGAAUACCUCUUUGAUGAACCCGGCUGCCGUUAGCUUGUGGAUCUCCUCGCCAAUCGCUCUGCUCUUCUCCUCGUCGAAUCGGCGCAGAGGCUGCUUGACGGGUCGGGCUCCGGCCCGAAUAUCCAGCGAGUGCUCGGUGACAUCCCUCGGUAUGCCGGGCAUGUCCGAGGGACUCCACGCGAAGACGUCGGCAUUCGCGCGGAGAAAGUCGACGAGCACUGCUUCCUAUUUGGGGUCGAGCCUGGAACCGAUCCGGAUCUGCUUGGAGGUGUCGCCACUGGGGUCGAGAGGGACGGCCUUAACCGUCUCCGCUGGCUCGAAGUUGCCAGCAUGACACUUCACGUCUGGCACCUCUUUGGAGAGGCUUUCCAGGUCGGCGAUGAGGGCCUCGGACUCGACGAGGGCCUCGGCGUACUCCACGCACUCCACGUCGCAUUCGAACGCGUGUUUGUACGUGGGGCCGACGGUGAUGACCCCGUUGGGGCCCGACAUCUUGAGCUUCAGGUAGGUGUAGUUGGGGACGG
rnacentral:lncRNA from 1 species